rnacentral:lncRNA from 1 species
AAAAAAAAUAAACUUUUUCAUUAAUUUAACCCCAUAAAUUGAACAAAAUUGAUUUUCACGAGAAUUGGUUACUCAGUUCGUUUGUCUCUACGAGACUACGUCUAUAGGGCGAUGUCAAGCCAUAGAUUUUUCACAGUUGGAUCGCCAAGAUCGGGCUCGAGUAUUCAGUACAUUCAGGCUCCAUACUCCUAACAACUUGAAUAAUGCAUUAAUUAAAUUUCGAACUAAAAUUGUUGUUGAGUCACACUCUCUAUGAGGCUUGAAUAAUGUAUUAAUUAAUUGUAUUUUUAUUUUUAUUUUUAUUUUUUCUCUAGAAAAGCUGUGAUUGAGCUUCUAAAGUACAUGUGCAAGGAAAAAGGCGCAGAUUGCACCGAUCUCUUGACAUCUUUCACAGGUAGUAUGUUCAAGAGGAGCUAAGGGGGCUUAAGCCCCCACCAAACCUUUUUUUUUUUUUUUUUACCUCCUUGAACUCAAAAUGUAGAAAAUUUAACUCCACCUGAAUCAAGAUUUUCUUACAUUUCUUGAAGUUAAGAUGAAUCUCAUUGCUAUUAACAGUAAGUCAGUGUUCUUUAUUUUGAGUUUUUAUAGGUGAAAACUGCUGCCUCAACUCUUCAAUUGUGAGUGUUUUCUUACAGCAUGAGCCUCAGCCAACUUCAACCAAGAACAUGAUCCAUCUCUCCCAGAGUUAGUACCAAUUUUUUUUCUUUUUCUAGGGUUAAUUGCAUGUAAAUAUUCAAAGUAUAUGGAAAUUUUGAUUUUUAAUUAAGACUAUUUUCUUAGUGAGUAAAUACAUAUUUUUAUUUUUUGGAAUUCGAUCCAAAUUUCAAUUCCGAUCAACUUAAUACUACGUGGAAGUAAUUCACAUAGGAAUAAGUAUGGCCGGAAUUUAAUUCGGGCCGAAUUCCGAAAAUUGAAAGUUCAUGUAUUUAUUGGUCAAGAAAAUAGUGAUAAUUAAAAACCAAAAUAUGGAUAUACUUCGUGUAUUUAUAGACAAUUAAUCGAGCAUUCUCAAGAGAAGUGUAUUUAAUUUUCUUGUUUAAUUUGCAGUGAUAAGAGGAGGCAAGAUUUGCAAGUAUGACUACGAAGACGAGGAGGAGAACAAGAAGCACUACGGCACGCCUGCUCCUCCCUCGUACGAGAUGAGCAGGAUUCCGAGUGAUCUGCCUCUCCUCCUCGCCUACGGAGGGGCGGAUGCCCUCUCCGUGGCGAGCGACGUGGAGCNNNNNNNNNNNNNNNNNNNNNNNNNNNNNNNNNNNNNNNNNNNNNNNNNNNNNNNNNNNNNNNNNNNNNNNNNNNNNNNNNNNNNNNNNNNNNNNNNNNNNNNNNNNNNNNNNNNNNNNNNNNNNNNNNNNNNNNNNNNNNNNNNNNNNNNNNNNNNNNNNNNNNNNNNNNNNNNNNNNNNNNNNNNNNNNNNNNNNNNNNNNNNNNNNNNNNNNNNNNNNNNNNNNNNNNNNNNNNNNNNNNNNNNNNNNNNNNNNNNNNNNNNNNNNNNNNNNNNNNNNNNNNNNNNNNNNNNNNNNNNNNNNNNNNNNNNNNNNNNNNNNNNNNNNNNNNNNNNNNNNNNNNNNNNNNNNNNNNNNNNNNNNNNNNNNNNNNNNNNNNNNNNNNNNNNNNNNNNNNNNNNNNNNNNNNNNNNNNNNNNNNNNNNNNNNNNNNNNNNNNNNNNNNNNNNNNNNNNNNNNNNNNNNNNNNNNNNNNNNNNNNNNNNNNNNNNNNNNNNNNNNNNNNNNNNNNNNNNNNNNNNNNNNNNNNNNNNNNNNNNNNNNNNNNNNNNNNNNNNNNNNNNNNNNNNNNNNNNNNNNNNNNNNNNNNNNNNNNNNNNNNNNNNNNNNNNNNNNNNNNNNNNNNNNNNNNNNNNNNNNNNNNNNNNNNNNNNNNNNNNNNNNNNNNNNNNNNNNCCUUCUUUAUCAAAUGGAAAUUUGUUGUUUGUGCCUAUUACUAAGGUUAAAACACCUCACCCCUUUUUAUUUUAGCAACUGAAUUAGACUUGAAAAAGAAUAUGAUGAAGGGUGAAAAAGUGUGACAUGCAAUAUAAAUAAUCUUUUUUCAAAAGAGGGGCAAAAAAUAGGAAAAUAGAGUAUCAGCCUCACAUUAUUUUAUUGUCACUACUAGAGCUGGCAAAAAAAAAAAAACAGAAGAAGAAGAAAAAAACAUAUCUUUUGAAUUUAUUUAAACGCAAUUGCAAGAUUAUUAUUUCACCUAACUAGUUUGUGAAAAAAAAGUAGUAGAGAUAUUGUAUUUACUAUUUAGACAUAAUAUCGUCGUCCCCUUUAUAUUAAAGAAACGUAAAGCAACUUAAAAGUUUGAUGCAAGGUAAAAGUUAAUAGGAUGAUGUUUAUUAAGAAAAUAGUUUGUCGUUUUCUAUAAUAAUAUCUUCAAUUAUGAUAUAUUGAUACGUGUAUGCUUAUAACAACAUUAUAUUAUAUACGUAAUAUUUUUAGAGUAGUGUUAUUUGAAUAAAAUAUAUCGAGAUAAAAAAAGGUUAAAUAUUUAAAAAAAAAUCGAUUUAUUAAAAAUAUUUGGUUCAAAUUUAAAAAGAAUUUAGUUAGUUUUAUUGUUUUCUACACAUUGUCGAUUUUUUGUAAUUAUUUAUUUAAUUAUUAUGAAUUUAUGGUCAUGAAUUCGAAUCAUUAUCAAUUUUUUUUUUGCUAUUCAGACAUUUACAUAUUUUUUGCUACAGUAUAAACAUUUCUUAGCAUAUAAAUAAGAACUAGCUAACAUGUAAGAAUUCUAUGUAGAACACAUGAAUUCGCUGUGUAAAUGUAUGAAUUGCAAAAAUAAAUUUUUUGCUACUUAUAAAAUUCAAACUUGGGACCAUGAAUUCAUCCAACAAGGUGAUGAAUCAAUCGUAGAUAUGUGUAUUUAUUUUAUCCCAUUAAUCCCACCCGUAUAUAUAUAGAUCGAUGGAGACACAAUAAAAAUGAUUUAUAAAGUAAUGGAAAUGUUUUUAAUGCCCUAAAGGCUAAAAGUUCAUCAUAAAUUCAUAGGGGAGCUUCGAGAAUAUCAAUUCUAAUCUACAUGAGGAGACUAUGGUAUAUUUACCAAACCUCUCGUUUUAUUUUUUAUUUUUUCUGAAAUCACACACAUCUAAAGAUGACUAACCCCCAACCUAUUUAUUAAAUGGGAAGCUUUUUGCAAUUAAAUUGUGCUUCGUCGAGAAUUUAUUUGUUAUAUUAUUGGUUUGGCUAAAUUUGCUUAGACCCCUAGCGCACAAUCUAGCCGCAUAAUUAGGUUAGGUGUGCAAACCGGUUUAUUAAUUUGAUUUUAUUUUAUUUUAUUUGGUUCAAUUACAGAAAUUUAAAAAAUCGAAAUUGGUUUCUUAUCUUAUAAAAAAAGAAAAAAAAAACCCAAUAAAAUCGAAAUAUAUUAGUUUCGAUUCUAUAUGAUUUUCAUAAUUUUUGUUUCGAUUUUCUGAACUUAAUUGGUUGCCAAACUGAAUUUUCUUAAUUUAGAAAUGAAACAACUAGCUAGUUUAGUUUCAUUCAAUUUAGAAUUUCCAAAACCCAAUAAAAUGUCCUAAUUAUAGUGACAUUGUUUUUAAAGAAUUAUACUAAUACUUAUAAAUGUCAUUAAAUACAAUUGUGACAUUUUAUAAAUUAAUAGACAUUUUACGUUGUGGACCUAUGGUGCCUCUUAAAUUAGAUAAAUCAGUUUUCUUUUUUUUUUUUUUUUAAUUGGCACUAUUAUUGAAGAAAUAAAACACACUCACGCACUAAUCCUAGGUGACUCGAACCCUUAUCCUAUUAGUUAAAGGAAAAGUGUCUUAACAGACUGCGCUUCAUCCUCAGAUAAAUUAACUGGGUUUGGAAGAAUCCGAAGAAUAAUCAAAUUCUUUAAUUAAUUAAUCCAAAAGGAUAUAAUAAAUAGAAAUUUAAAUUAUAAUUUAAAUUUCUAUUUAAUAUAUCUUUUCGAUUGUAGAGUUUGGUACGUACCUAAGUAUGAACACAUGGAACCCUAACAGCUAACGUUAUGUUGUGAUGUGAAUGACAUAAAUUCAUAUUCAAAAAGAUUUUUGAGUUUCACUUCCUAUAAAAGCAGCAACUCUAUUGGUAAAUCACAAAAAAAUUGCAAGAGAGAAAAAAUAAGAAGAAGCUGAUAUUUUAGUGUGACAAAAAAUGGGGGCGGCGACGACGACGACGUCGACAUCCUUAAUUUUGUUGCUACUUAUGUUUGCUGUCUUAGCAGCUGGUGGAAGAACAAAGAUUUCAAGAGUAUUGGAAUCCAAUAAUAAUGGAGAUGGAUUGUGUAAGCAAAUUGUGGAGACUCAAGGAUAUAGCUGUGAAGAACAUAGGGUAAGAACAAACUUAAGUGUGUGUAUGUGUGUAUUUUUUUUUUAAUUAUAUAAGUUUUAUGGAUCGGUUAUAAAUUAUUGGAUAAAUAUCAUAUUAAACCUCCAAAUUAUGACGUGGCUCGCUGGAUGCCACUGUACUAAUUUACAUUUUAUGGCACAAAACGAUCUUGUUUUUUUUUGUUAUAUCGUUAAAAAAAAAUUAAGUCCACGCUCGAUACACAAAAUGACGUUAUUUUUUUAAAAUGAUAUGACACAAAAUGGUGUCGUUUUGUGCUAUGUAAUUUAAAAUAAUAAAAUAUAAAUUAUAUAGUGGCAUUCGGCGAGCCACGUUAUGAUUUCGGGGACUGAAAAAUGGAUGCAGGAUAUUUUUGAUAUAAAUAUAAUAAUUUGGGAUUUUUAAAAAUAUUUUUUAUAGGUCAAAAUAUUUUUAAUAAAGUGAGUGUAAUUGGAGGUUUAAUAUGAUAUGAUAUUUACCCUAAAUUAUUUAUGCAACUAAUCGAGGGUAAUACCUACGUGUAUUACGCAUGUGAUUUAUCAUUUACACAUGUGAUUUUGGAUUGGGCCGGGUCACAACCAAAUGUCGGGCCAAUUUGAUUCGAAAAGUCAUGCCAUGGGCCUGCAGGAAGCCGGGCUUGAUUUGAUUAUGGGUCGGGCCAGACCAUGCUUCUUCAAAGCCCGAUUGGUUUUCGGAUCGGCCCAACUGUUUGACAAGUGACAACUGUAAUUUAGAGCUUUUAAUUGUUUUGAAUGAUGACAUUAUUUUGAAGAAUUUAAUAUUAUGAAGGCUUAGUUAUAAAAUAAGAUCCACCAAUUUUUCAACAAUUUCAGUUUCAUGAGUCCAAAUAUAUAUCGUAUAAAAUAGGAAUCAUUCUCCAAUUUUUAGAUCAUAAAGAUCUACAGUGAAUUCAUCACUUAUUAACUGAAUUUCACUUUCUUUUGAAUUCAUCAUUUUUAUCGGGAAUUCAUAAUGUUUCAUAGCGAACUUAUUUUAUAUAUUUGAUCAGGUGACAACCAAAGAUGGAUACAUCCUUAGCAUGCAGAGGAUUCCGACGGGGCGAUCGGGCGCAACGACAAGGGAGGGGCCGAAGCCCCCCGUCCUACUUCAACAUGGCAUAUUGAGCGUUGCUACUUCCAACUCCUUCUAGUUUUCAUCUUUCAGGUCCUCGAACAUACCUUAACCAAUGUAACUACAUUUAUUAAAACUUAUUUAUUUGUCUAACAGGAUGCAACGAUAUGGCUGGAUAUGCCUUGUGAUAAAGCUCUAGGGUUCAUCUUGGCAGACAACGGCUUCGAUGUAUGGUUGGCCAACGUGCGAGCCACGGCCUACAGCAGUAGACAUACCUCGCUUAGCUUUAAUGAUUCGGUAAUGGAUCAACGACCCUUAUCAUCAGGCGUGUAUAGGGACAGGGUUGAUCAUAUUUUGUAUUUCCAUUUUCAGCGUUUUCUGAAAGGCGUUAUUGCCGGAAAAUAUUCCUGUAGGAUUGAUUCUGAAUCGUCCCACCGCGAACAAUUUCGCCCAAAUCUAAUCUGAAUAGUCCCAUGACUUGCAAUUUCUCAUAACGCAUAUUAGAUUUGGGCGAAAUUGCCAUAUUCUCGCUUGUUAUUGGUCUGCACCAUUGCUUAAACCCCCUAAUCAAUGGAUUUUUCCUAUUGAAUUUGGGCGAAAAUUCCGUGUGACGAUUCAAAGUCAAUCUUAAAUUCAUGUAUUUUUGGCCAAAAAAAAAAGGUUAUGAUAUAAAUCAGAAAAUUGGCAAACCGUAAGUAUUUUCCGACAGUCACCCGUUUUCAAAAUAUAUCUCCAACUAAUUAAUAUAAACUAUUUAAAAAUUAAUCCUCAACUUUUGAAAAGUUUGAUUUAUGCCCUACUUUACAUGAUUCGAAGACGAAAUUAUUUUUAAGUGAUUUUUUUCCACCAAAAAAAAGUCCACUAAAAGAAAGAUAGCAUAACUCAGAGGUAAGCUUUGCUUCUCUUCCUGAGUUCUGCUCUCCCUCCUAUGUGAUUUUUUUUAAAAAAAAUUCUUUUAACCUUUUUUAUAAAAGAUGCCGUUUUAUGGGUGAGAUGAAAAAUAAACAUCUAUCUAAGAAUCUAGUGAGGUGACUCAUUUUGCUGCCGAAUUUUUUAAAAUGUGAGGUGGAACAAAAAAUCUACCUAAGAAUCCAAUGAGGUGACUCGCCAUUCUGCCGGCGGAUUCUUUGAAGCCAGACAUAAAUCAUUUUUUUCCUUAAAAGUUGAGGGUUUUUUAAAUGAAAACCUUAGUUUGAGACAUUUUCUGAAACACGCUAAAUAGAUAGAUAGAUAGAUAGAUAGAUAGAUAGAUAGAUAGAUGUGUCUCAUUCCGUGUUUGGAAAUUUAGGAAUACUGGGAAUGGUCGUGGGACGAGCUAGCCGCCUACGACUUCCCAGCCACGGUCGAGUAUGUCUACAACCAAACAAGGCAGAAAUUGCACUACGUUGGCCAUUCCUUGGUAGCAAUUCUAAACACUUUUUUUUUACGUUAGCUCAAUUUUUUUGUUAAUUAUUUUGGUGAUGAUGGUAGGGCACUUUGAUGGCGUUUGCCGCGUUUUCGCGGCACAAGGUUUUCGACAUGGUGAGAUCUGCUGCUCUGCUUAGCCCCAUAGCUUAUAUGGGGCAGCUGCCAUCUCCUGUUUCUAGAAUUGGUGCUGAGUUAUUCCUUGGUGAAGUAAGUGAUAAAACUUUGAAUUUAUGUGCUUUGGUUUUGGGCUUCAUUUCUGAAAAAUGCAUCUGUUGAUGAUCAGGCCUUUUUCUGACAGGCGUUUUAUUGGCUGGGAAUCAGAAAAUUCGCCCCCGAAGAGUGAGAAACGAGCAACUUAUACACUUUUUAGGGGCGUUUACUUUGCAUGAUUAAUAAGAUAUACGAUUCAGUAUUAUUAUUAUUAUUAUUAUUAUUAUUAUUAUCUUCAAGGGACAUCCCAAAGUUGAUAUUUAUCACUCAAACAUGUAGAAAUGGAAAUAGGUCUCUAUAUUUGUGUUGAUUAGUGACAUUUUUAUGGAUUUAGGAUUCUUAGUAACAUGGAAUAGGAAAUAAGCUCAAAAGUUUUUGUUUAAUCUCUUGUUAUGAAAGAAGUGGACAUUUUAUGAUUUUGGAACAUUUUUUUAUGAAUUUUGGGAUUCUUUCUUGAAAUCAAAAUGUAGGAAACAACUCAACAAGCUCCAAAACAGAUGUUUGUUCCUCUUUUCUAGUUAAAAACCAUCAAUUUGUGAUGAUUUGUAAUAAUUUCAUGGAGAUAGCUAGAUCUUUAUGUUUGUGUUGAUUAACAUUUUUAUGGAUUUAGAAUUCUUUGUUGGCCUCUAACAUGUAGGAAAAAAUAGACAUGUUAUGAAAAAAUGGACAUUUUAUGAUUUUGGAACAUUUUUUUUAAUACAUGUAUGAAAAAAUAAUUCUUUGUUAAAUAAAAAAAACCCAUCAAUUUAUGAUGAUUUCUAACAAUGUAAUGGAAUUUGAGAUUCUUUAUUGAAUUUGACAAUUUAUGAUGAUUUCUAACAAUUUAAUGGAGUUUGGGAUUCUUUCUUGAAUUUGACAGAGACAGAGGUCCUCCUUCCAAACUUCUUGUUGAUAUCUGCAAACAAAUUAAUUGUUCCAAUUUGGUGGAUCUUACGAGUCUUUCCUCAGGUAAAAAAAAAAAAAGUUUCAUUAACUACUCAAAUGAAUCAAUUCUAUUAGAGGUUAUUUCCGAAAAAUACUCCAAGUUUACCAAUUUUCUGAUUUAUGUCAUGAUCUUUUUUUGGCAAGAAAAUAGAUGAAUUUAAGAUUGAUUCUGAAUCAUCUCAUAACUUGGAAUUUCGGCCAAAUCCACUAUGAAUAAUCCAUUGAUUAAGGGAUUUAAGCUAAGCUGCAUAUCAAUAAUAGAACAAAAUAGGGCAAUUUCGCCCAAACUCAAUCCCAAUAGUCCCAUAACUUGCAAUUUCUCACUGCCGCGUCAUAUUAGGUUUGGGCGAAAUUACAAAUUUGGAACAAUUCAGAAUUAAUUUUAAAUUCAUGUACUUUCUGAUUAAAAAAAAAGAUCAUGAUAUAAACGAGAAAUUAAGUUGGUAAACUUAUGGUAUUUUAACCCCAAAAAAUUAAUUCCCAAUUUUCUCUCCUUCAAUUUUAGGCCCUAAUUGUUGCAUGAACUCUUCAAGAUCACAUCUUAAUCGCCAACAACCAACCUCAACAAAGAACCUGAUCCAUCUAUCCCAGAGUAAGAUCAAAACUUUCGCGCCUAUUUUCUUUUUAAAAAAAAAUAUUUAUUCAUCUCGAGUAGCAGUUGCGAGUUAUUGGUGCCUUAGCCAGUGAUCAGGAACGGGAACAUAGCGAUGUACGACUAUGACAACAAGGAGGACAACCACAAGCACUACGGCCAGGCGACGCCCCCAGAAUACGACAUGACUAUGAUCCCGACUCACAUCCCUCUCUUCCUCAGCUACGGAGGGAACGAUUAUCAAUCCGAUGUUAACGACGUGCAUACGCUCAUCAAGACGUUGUCGGGUCAUGACCCGGAUAAGCUUGUGGUGCAGUAUGUGGAAAGCUAUGCUCACCUGGAUUUUGUCUAUGGUGAGAAUGCUAGGCAAGUUGUGUACGACCCUGUGAUGGCCUUCUUCGGAUCGAACUAGAAUUCGAAUGCAUUGUAAUAAUAUGCAUAUUUUUGUGUGCGUGUGCUGACCUAGCGAUAAAAUGGUUAAUGCAUCAGGUCAGAGGUCUCAAGUUCAAGUCCAUCGUUAUAUGAUAUUUUGAAAAUUUUGUUUCUCCUACAAAAUGAAGAAUGUGUUAUCAUUGUUUCUCCAAAAAGAUGAAUUAAUUAUCGAUAAUUCAUGAUGUAAGACUUUACACCUAGGAUUAACAACAUUCUAAUAAUUUAUGGGCACAGAAAAAGAAAUAACAACUAAAAUGGAAUAUACGGCCCCAAAUUUAAGCUAUUGAGAUAACAACAACUAAUUUUUUUUUUCUAUUAAUUAAUAGUACAAAACAAGAAAAACCAUCUAUUGAGAUAGCGAUGCCCCUUAUCCCAUAGUAAUAUUACCCAGCUCUUAAUUGAACCAUAAAUCAUUUUCCAUCAAAUAAUUCGAUUACUUGUUUAAAAAUAAUAAAAAGUGACAUAUCACAAAAAUAUUCUCAAUUUUUUUAUAAAAUUAGAAUUACAAGAGGUACCUAAAUAGCAAGACCACUAUAUAUCCACACAAAGGUGAGAAUACUACCCACACGAUUGAACCCAAGACCUCUCACAAACUCACAAAGGAGAGUCUUUGAAUUUGCCACUAUUGACAACUAUUCUCAAAUUUAAAAAAUCACUUUCAGAAAUAGAAAAGUUAUAAAUUCUUGUUUUCUUUUAUGCUUAUUUGUCUUUUUUUAUUCGAGAACACAAAUUCACAUUUAUUCAUGGCACAAAACGAUGUCAUUUUGUGCAUUACUAAUUAAAUAAGAAUAAUUCUUACUAUAAUGACAAUAAAUGAUGUCGUGAUCGCGUCAAUCUUUUGGAGCCAAAAAAUAAACAGAUGACACAAUUGAUACAAAAUCAAUAAUUCAUGAUUAAAAUGUAUUUUUGAUAUAUAUUUCAAGAUAUAAUGACAAUAGUUUGGAGAUGAUGUGCCAUUAAUCCUAUAAUUAAUUACAUAUUUAUCCAAUCGUAGAGCCUUUUACCUUAUUAUGAACACAUGGAAUAGUAGCAGCAACGAUAUCUGAAAAAUAACAUAUAGUAUAAAUUAUUAUUCAAUCAGAUUUUGAGCUUCACUACCUAUAAAAGGCAGCAACGCCAUCGAUAUCAAUCAACAAAAAAAUUAGCACACACACACACACACACAUAUUAUAUUAAAAAAAAUCUAUGACAAAAAUGGUGAUGAAGAGAGCGACAUCCUUAAUUUUGUUGCUACUUCUGUUUGCUGUCUUAGCUGCAGGUGGAAGAGCAAAGAUUUCAAGGGAAUUAACAACCAUUAAUUAUGGUGAUGGAAUCUGUCACUUAAUGGUGGAAACACAAGGCUAUACUUGUGAAGAACAUAUGGUAAGAACAAGUGUGUGUGUGUGUGUUUGUUUGUUUUCUAUAAAAUCUUGAACUCAAUUUUUUUUAAAAUAAAGCCUCUAUUAAAAGAUUUUUUUUUUCUACAUCCGCCCUACUUAAUUUUGGGUCGGGUCGGGUUGGAUUGGGUUGCGAUGGUUCUAAACCCGACCAAAUUUCAGGGAGAUUCUAUCUGAAUAUCUUUGCCUUUUUUCGGGCCACGGACAGCCCGAUCCAGUAUGAUUUUGGGUCAAGCUCGACCAUGCUUUUUGAGGCCCGACUUUAAUAUAGAGAAUUUUAUUGUUAAAAAAUAAAUCACUUCUUUUGAUCCAUUUAUAAAUUUGGACACAAUUUCAAAAACAUUUCAGUNNNNNNNNNNNNNNNNNNNNNNNNNNNNNNNNNNNNNNNNNNNNNNNNNNNNNNNNNNNNNNNNNNNNNNNNNNNNNNNNNNNNNNNNNNNNNNNNNNNNNNNNNNNNNNNNNNNNNNNNNNNNNNNNNNNNNNNNNNNNNNNNNNNNNNNNNNNNNNNNNNNNNNNNNNNNNNNNNNNNNNNNNNNNNNNNNNNNNNNNNNNNNNNNNNNNNNNNNNNNNNNNNNNNNNNNNNNNNNNNNNNNNNNNNNNNNNNNNNNNNNNNNNNNNNNNNNNNNNNNNNNNNNNNNNNNNNNNNNNNNNNNNNNNNNNNNNNNNNNNNNNNNNNNNNNNNNNNNNNNNNNNNNNNNNNNNNNNNNNNNNNNNNNNNNNNNNNNNNNNNNNNNNNNNNNNNNNNNNNNNNNNNNNNNNNNNNNNNNNNNNNNNNNNNNNNNNNNNNNNNNNNNNNNNUUUAUUUAUUUAUUUUUAUUUAAAAAAAAAAUAGGAUGCAAUGACAUGGCUGGCUAUGUCUCCUGAUGAAUCUCUGGGAUUCAUCUUGGCAGACAACGGCUUCGACGUAUGGUUGGGCAACGUGCGAGGCACGAACUACAGCAGUAGCCACACCUUAAUCAACUCUGUUAAUCCGGUACCAACGACUUUCGUAGUUGGCGAUCAUGUUUUGUGUCCUCAAUUUUUAGCAUUUUCUAAUUUAUGUCUUCAAUUAACAAUAUUUACUAGUAUUAAAGAAAUUCUAAUUUUGGAAAAGUUUGAUUGACAGAAUAAUGAGUCAUCUCGCCAGAUCCUUAAGUGAUUUUUUUUCACAUCUUACCUACUAAACAACGUCGUUUUGCCAAAAAAGAAAAACAAAUUCACCCGCUCUCUCAGUUCUUGGUUGGAUUCUUUUUUAUCAGGUUUCUUGUUUUGUGUCUGCAAUUUUCGGCGGAUUUAAAAAAUGUUCCAACUUUCGUUAUCUAUCCAGAACCCCCAACAUUCAGCGUUUUUCAAAAAAUAUCCCGCUAUACAAAAUCAUAGACAUAAUAAUGAGUCACCUUGUCAGAUUCUUAGGUGGAACAAUGAUGUUUUAUUGGGCGAGGUUGAAACAAAGUUUCCACCUAAGAAUCAUAAUAAUUCGACGAUGUGACUCAUCAUUUAUUUGUUGGAUUUUGUAUAACAGGAUUUUUUUCUAAAAACACCGAAAGUUUGAGGUUUUGAAUAAAACACGAAAGUCACGGAUAUCGUUUAGAAUUCGUUGAAAGUUGGGGACGCCAAACAUGAUCAACCAUUUCAUUGCCAGAAUUUGUAAAGCGUGACAUAAAUCAAACUUUCCAAAAGUUGAGGAUUUCUUAAUAGAAAACAUUACUUAAGCAUGUUUUUUGGAAAAUACUAAAAUAUGAUAAAAUAUGAUAAACCUUAUUUAAUAUGUAUACUCAUUUGUCUCAUUUCAUUUUUGGAAACUUAGCUCUACUGGGAUUGGUCGUGGGACGAGCUCGUAGCCUACGACCUCCCAGCCAUGGUCGAGUAUGUCCACACCCAAACAGGGCAGAAGCUGCACUACGUUGGCCAUUCCUUGGUAGCUGCUAAACACAUCUAUCAGACACUUUUUUCAGUUAUUGUCCCAACGUUUUGUGGAAUUUUAAGAAAAAAUGGAUUGACUAUCACCUACUAUUAAUUUUACGGAUAGUCUGGUUUUGCACAUGAACUUUGAAAGGAGUCAAAAAAUACAUAAACUUUAAUGUUGUAGUAAUUUUGCCGCAAAUUCAAUUUUUGCUCAAAUUAAAGUUAACGUGGCAAGUCGAAAUAUCGAUGUGUACUCAUUGAACAUUUUAAAACAUGACAUCGUAUAGGACAUAUCUAAACCUGAAAAUCUCAGGAGUUUUAUGGAGUUCGAAUAUCUAGAAAUUGAAUUUGUGGUAUAAUUGCUACAACAUUAAAGUUCAGGUAUUUUUUGACUCAUUUCAAAGUUCAUGUGCAAAAUCAAACUACUUCCAAAAUUUAUGUAUUUAGGCGCUAAUAACCCUUUUAUUUUUGAAACGUUGGAUAUUUUUUUGCUCAUUUUUUUUUUUUUUGUGGUGAUGAUGAUAGGGUACUUUGAUGGCGUUUGGGGCGUUUUCGAGGCACGAGGUUUUGAGCAUGGUGAGAUCUGCUGCUCUGCUUAGCCCCAUAGCUUAUAUGGGGCAGAUGCCAUCUCCUCUUGCAAGAGCUGCUGCUGAUCAAUUCACUGCUGAAGUAAGUUAUUGAACAAACGUUGAAUUCUUGUGCUCUUCAGUUUCGGGGUUUAUUUGCAAAAACGCGCAUCUAUCGAGUCCGGUGGCUUCUCCUGAUGAUCGUACCCUUUUGUGGCAGGCGACUCGUUGGUCGGGAAUCCAAGUAUUCGCCCCGGGAGGGUGAGAAACGAGCACGAAGCUAACUUUUAAUUUAUGAUUGAGUAUUUUUAUCCUCGUUAUUGGGAUUUAUCUCUUCUAACAAGAUUUCAAUUCAUGCAUGUCUGGUAGGCCUUAUAAGCCUGAAUAGUUAAAUAAUCAUAAGUUAUUUAUACAUUUGAUACCCCAGAUAAUUAAUCAAGAUUGUCUGGGAUAAAACCAAGACUCUCGUAUUUCACUAUUCCUCGUAGAAAANCAAUUAACAAUAUUUACUAUUAAAGAAAUUCAAACUUUGGAAAAGUUUGAUUUAUAUCAUGCAAAUCCGCCGACAGAAUAAUGAGUCACCUCGUCAGAUCCUUAAUUAAGUUAUUUUUUUUCACAUCUUACCUAGUAAACAAUGUCAUUUCGCCAAAAAGAAAAAAUAAAUAAAAAACCACAUGCUCUCUCGCUUCUUAGUUGGAGUUUUUUUUUUUUUUUUUCGAUUUCAUGUUUUGUAUCUGCAAUUUUCAGCGGAUUUCAGAAAAUGUCCCAACGAUGGUUUUCUAUUCAGAAUCCCAAACUUUCAGCGUUUUGAAAAAAUAUUCCGCUAUACAAAAUCAUAGACGAAAUAAUGAGUCACCUUGCCGGAUUCUUAGGUGGAACGAUGUUAUUUUAUUGGGUGAGGUUGAAACAAAGUUUCCACCUAAGAAUCAUAAUAAUCCGGCAAUGCAACUCAUCAUUUUUUUUCGCGAAAUUUGUAUAGCUGGAAUUUUUUUGAAAAACGCCGAAAGUUUGAGGUUUUAAAUAAAACACUGAAGUCGGGGAUAUCUUUUAGAAUUCGUUGAAAGUUGGGGACAUCAAACACAAUCAACCAUUUCUUUGUUAAACCAACAUCGUUUAGUAGUUAGAUGUCUCAUCAUUCUGUUGCCAGAUUCUGUAAAACAUGACAUAAAUCAAAUUUUUCCCAAAAUUGAGGAUUUUUUUAAUAGAAAACAUUAAUUGAGCAUGUUUUUUGGAAAACACUAAAGAAUGGGGGCAUAAAAUAUGAUAAACCUUAUUUGAUAUAUAUGUAUACUCAUCUGUCUCAUUUCAUUUUUGGAAACUUAGCUCUACUGGGAUUGGUCGUGGGACGAGCUCGUAGCCUACGACCUCCCAGCCAUGGUCGAGUAUGUCCACACCCAAACAGGGCAGAAGCUGCACUACGUUGGCCAUUCCUUGGUAGCUGCUAAACACAUCUAUCAGAACACUUUUUUUCAGUUAUUGUCCCAACGUUUGUGCGAAUUUUAAGAAAAAAUGGAUUGACUAUNUAUAUAUGUAUACUCAUCUGUCUCAUUUCAUUUUUGGAAACUUAGCUCUACUGGGAUUGGUCGUGGGACGAGCUCGUAGCCUACGACCUCCCAGCCAUGGUCGAGUAUGUCCACACCCAAACAGGGCAGAAGCUGCACUACGUUGGCCAUUCCUUGGUAGCUGCUAAACACAUCUAUCAGAACACUUUUUUUCAGUUAUUGUCCCAACGUUUGUGCGAAUUUUAAGAAAAAAUGGAUUGACUAUCACCUACUAUUUAAUUUUAAAGAUAGUCUGGUUUUGCACAUGAACUUUGAAAGGAGUCAAAAAAAACAUAAACUUUAAUGUUGUAGUAAUUUUGCCACAAAUUCAAUUUUCUUUCAAAUUAAAGCGUUUUAAAAAAUAACAUCGUAUAGGACAUCUCUAAAAGAUAUCGUAUAAGACAUCUCUAAAUUUUUUUGACUCAUUUCAAAGUUCAUGUGCAAAAUCAACUACCUCCAAAAUUUAUGUAUUUAGGCGCUAAUAACCCUUUUAUUUUUGAAACGUUGGAUAUUUUUUUGCUCAAAUUUUUUUUUUUGGUGAUGAUGAUAGGGAACUUUGAUGGCGUUUGGGGCGUUUUCGAGGCACGAGGUUUUGAGCAUGGUGAGAUCUGCUGCUCUGCUUAGCCCCAUAGCUUAUAUGGGGCAGAUGCCAUCUCCUCUUGCUAGAGCUGCUGCUGAUCAAUUCACUGCUGAAGUAAGUUAUUGAACAAACGUUGAAUUCUUGUGCUCUUCGGUUUCGGGGUUUAUUUGCAAAAACGAGCAUCUAUCGAGUCCGGUGGCUUCGCCUGAUCAUCGUACGCUUUUGUGGCAGGCGACUCGUUGGUCGGGAAUCCAAGUAUUCGCCCCGGGAGGGUGAGAAACGAGCACGAAGCUAACUUUUAAUUUAUGAUUGAGUAUUUUUAUCCUCGUUAUCGGGGUUUAUCUCUUCUAACAAUAUUUCAAUUCAUCUGGUGCAUAUUUGGUCGGAUUAUAAGCCUGGAUAGUUAAAUAAUCAGAAGUUAUUUAUGCAUUUGAUACCUCAGAUAAUUAAUCAAGAGGGUCCGGGAUAAAACCAAGGCUCUCUCGUAUUUCACUAUUCCUCUUAGAAAAAUAACCUCACAUCACUGAUGAAAUAAAUUAAUCUUUACGAUACAGUAACUAUUCAUUGUAUUACUUAUCUUAUUUUUAUUAAGAAAUCCACUUCUAAACAUGAAUACCAAACAAGUGCUUAGUAAAUAGGAGUAAUAGAUCAGUCUAUACUAUUUUUAUAUAUGUAGGCUAAUUCUCAAAAGUAAACGUUCAUUUAUCGAAUAUGGUGUUUUUCUUCAACUUUAUUAUUAUGUUGAUUUGUGACAUUUUCAUGGUUUUGGGAUUUUUUGUUGGACUCAAACAUGUAGGAAGCAAUCUCAACAGUCAUUAUUUUGAGAAAAUGAUGUUUUUGUGAUUUGGAAUAUUUUUAUGGACUUGGGAUUCUUUGUUUGAACUAGGAUACAAGCUCAAGAAGAUGAGAAUUUUUGUUUGAAAUCAUGAAUUUAUGAUGAUUUGUAACAAUUUAAUUUGAAUGUGACAGAGGUCCUGCUACCCAACUUGUUGCUAAUAUAUGCAGUCACAUGGAUUGUUCCAAUAUGGAAAAUGUUCUUACAGGUAAAAAAAUAUGAAAAAUAAAAACAGUUUCAUUAAUGCCUUAUUACAUGCUUAUUGAACUAGGAAAAAAAUUCUCCAUCUUCUCACCUUCAAUUUAGGCCCUAAUUGUUGCAUGAACAAGUCAAGAUCAAAUCUUGCCCCCCAACAACCAACCUCAACAAAGAACAUGAUCCAUCUAUCCCAGAGUAAGAUCAAGAUUUUCGCACCUAUUUUUCCAUUUUUAUUAUGGGGUAUCCGCGUUUAAAUACACGAACUUUUAGCAAAUUUUGGUUUUACACGUGAAUUAAAAGUUCUGUCUUCAAAUAUACGAAUUUUCAAUCGUUCUGAUUUUUCGCACGAUUGCCAAUCGCAUCCAAAUUUAGUUAUGAGAUGGACUGAUCUUGAAGUGUCUACCCGGUCAAACGGCCAAUGUAAUAAACGACGUAGUUGGAUGUCUACGUCACUUCAGUUAGCUACAAUGACAUUAACUCGCUCAAAAUUGACAAAUGUGUGAAAAAUCAUAAUUGAGUGAAAAUUCGUGAAUUUAAGCGCAAUUACCCCAUAUUUUUUUUUAUUUGAGUUAUUCACCUCGAAUAGCAGCUCAGAGUUAUUGGUGUUUUUGCCAGUGAUAAGGAAAGGGUCGAUAGCAAUGUACGACUAUGGGAACGAAGGGGCCAACAUCAUGCACUAUGGACAGGCGACGCCUCCGGCUUAUAGCAUCACUAGCAUCCCGAAUCAACUCCCUCUCUUCCUCAGCUACGGCGGGGAGGAUCUUCUCUCCGAUGUUAAGGACGUGCAGACUCUCAUCGACGCUCUAUCGGAUCAUGACCAAGACAAGCUUGUGGUGCAAUAUAGAGAAGACUAUGCUCACAUGGAUUUUGUCCUUGGUGUGAAUGCUAAGGAACUUGUGUAUAGCCCUCUCAUGGCCUUCUUCAAAUUGAACUAGAAUUUGUGUUAUUAAUUUUACAUUUAAUAAACUAUGCCCCUUUACCCUUAUGGCCUUAUCCAAUAGUCAUACUCAUCAAAUCUUAUUUGACCCAUAAAUCAUUUUCUAUAUCAACAUCAGUCAAAUAAUUUGAUUACUUGUUUGAAAUUUACCUAUAACUUUAAUAAUAAUAAAUAUAAUUGCAUUCAAUCAUGUACAAAACUAUUCUCAAAUUUAAUAAAUUCUUGUUUUCGUCUCUACCUAUUUGUCUUUCUCUGUUCAAGAACAGAAAUGCACAUCCAUGUUCCCAUUGAAAACCAAAUUAAAUUGUUAAUUGUGGAUACUUAUAUAUCAUGUAAAUUAAAUUUCAUUUGAGUUCGAUCGAUAAAAUUUACAAAUGAGCUUUCACAUAAUUCUAUUUUUCAUCAAGUGUAUAAUUCAGUUUGAUUUUAAUUAUCACGAAUUAGUAAUGAAAUAGCAACACUCAAGCACGAUUGGUUGAUUAGUUGUGUUCAAAAUCGGUUCAUAUAUUAAUUCUGGAUAUCUUUUGUAAAACAUAUACUUCAUCCGUCUCAUAAAAACAUGCAUAGUUUUCUUUUUUCAUUCGUCACAUAAAAACAUGUGUACCCCAUUUAUAGUGCUCUUCGUUCCACCUAUCUUGAGACAUUUUUUUAUUUGGGCGUCCCACCUAUCUUGAGACAUUUUCUUAUUUGGCAAAAGUUUUACCCUUUAUUGAUCUUUUCAGUUUUUCAUCUCCAAACAAAAUACUAAUUUCUUAAAUCUCGUACUCCAAAAAAGGUCUCAAGAUAGCCGGGACGAAAGGAGUAAUAAUUCUCCCACUAUAAAUCACAAUCAAUGUGGGACUCUUUCUCCACUCACACUACACUUUAUAGGAUUUCUUAAAAUCCGUGUCGUUUCAUACUAUGCAUGUUUAUAUGGGACGGAGGAAGUAUAAUUUGGGGUUUAAAAUGAUAUUAUUAUUAUUAUUAUUAUUAUUAUUAUUAUUAUUAUUAUUAUUAUUAUUAUUAUUAUUAUUAUUAUUAUUAUUAUUAUUAUUGUCCAAUUGUAGAGUCUUGGUAUGAAAACAUGGAAUCGUAGCAGCAACGAUGUCUGAACGUUGUGUUGUAAUGACAUUAACAUAAACUCUUAUUCAAUCAUAUUUAUAAUAUCACUUCCUAUAAAAGGCAGCAACGAAUCACCAAGACUCUGUAGAAGAAAAGAAAAAAUAACAUAUAUAUUUUAGUGUGACAAAAAUGGCGAUGACGACAGCGACAUCCUUAAUUUUGUUGCAGCUUCUGUUUGCUGUCUUAGCAGCUGGUGGAAGAACAAAGAUUUCAAGGGAAUUGGAAUCCAAUAAUUUUGGAGAUGGAAUCUGUCAGCUUAUGGUGGAGACGCAGGGCUAUAGCUGUGAGGAACAUAAGGUAAGACCAAGUGUGUGUUCUGUGUUUUUUAGGAGCCAAGUUUUGGAUUAAUAGCGUUUUAUGUCCCGAACUUUCAGCGUUUUCCGUAAAAUGUCUCGAACCUUCGUUGUCUCCUAAAAAACUCCUCCGAACUUUCAAUUUUUUUCAUAAAAUGUCUCGCUAUAUAAAAUCUGAUGAAAAUAUGACUUACGGAUGAAAUACUUUCGGGAUCCGCCAUUUCUGGAAAAACCAUAUUAGGAGGAACCACCAUUGUUGAAAAACGUUAAAACUUCGGGAUUUUUUAUUAUCUUUCUGUCAUUGAAUUUUGUAUGUAUAGCAUGACAUUUUAUGCAAAACGCUGAAAAUUCGAGACAUAAAAUAUUAUUAACCCUUUUUUUUAUUCAACUGACUGAGGGCACGUGCAUUGCACGUGUGAUUUCUCAUUACAUUACAUAUAUAUUAUUAACCUCAACGAAAUAUUCAAUAUUGUAGUGCAAAAUUCAUUAAUACAGAGUAUGUCUGAUCAGGUGACAACAAAAGAUGGAUACAUCCUGAGCUUGCAGAGGAUUCCGACGGGGCGGUCGGGCGACGCAGGGAAGAAGAAAGGGGGGCCGAAGCCCCCCGUCUUACUUCAGCAUGGCCUAAUGAGUGUUGCUACUUCCAACUCCUUUCAAUUUUAUUAUUUCAAAUUCCUAAAAUGCGCUUUUAUUUUAGUUACAAGUCACACACAGGCACACUGAAUGACUAGACCACCAGAGACCUAUUGGUUGGAAAUGAAGCGUCUUACACCCUCAAACUUAAUAGUCUCACUACACUUGCUAAAUUUUAUUCAUUUAUUUAUUAUAAAAAAAUAAACAGGAUGCAAUGACAUGGCUGGCUAUGUCCCCCGAUGAGUCUCUGGGAUUCAUCUUGGCAGACAACGGCUUCGACGUAUGGUUGGGCAACGUGCGAGGCACGAACUACAGCAGUGGCCACACCUCGCUCGGCCCUAAUGAUCCGGUACUGGACCAACGGCCUUUUUUAUUGUGAGAGUUGUGAGAACUCUUGCACUGAAACCCAUAAAGUAACUGCAUUGAACUUUGCCGAGUAGAGCAAAGUUCAGUGCAGUUACUUUAGUGGCAAGAGUUUCUCACAGUUCUCACGAUAAGAAGUUUUUUAUUUGAACCACUCCCAGUAUUACUCUAUAUUUAUAUAUAGAUGUGUCUCAUUUCGUGUUUGGAAACUUAGGAAUACUGGGAUUGGUCGUGGGACGAGCUCGUGGCCUACGACCUCCCGGCCAUGUUCGAGUAUGUCCACGGCCAAACAGGGCAAAAGUUGCACUACGUUGGCCAUUCCUUGGUAGCUGCUAAACACAUCUAUGAGGACAUUUUUUUUUCUUUUUUUGGGGGGUAAAUAUCAGUUAUUGUCCAAACAUUUGCACUACGAAAAAUGUUUCAAUGUUAGCAUAAUUGCAAAAAAAUACCCAACGCUUCAAAAUAAUUAUUACAAUAAUAAUAAUAAAAAAAUUAGACAUUUUUAUUAAUUCACACAGACGUUGGGACAAUAACUGAUAUUUACCCUUUUUUUUUCCUUUUCUCAGCUCAUUUUUUUUUGGUGAUGAUGAUAGGGUACUUUGAUGGCGUUUGGGGCGUUUUCGAGGCACGAGGUUUUGAGCAUGGUGAGAUCUGCUGCUCUGCUUAGCCCCAUAGCUUAUAUGGGGCAGAUGCCGUCUCCUCUUGCUAGAGCUGCUGCUGAUAUAUUCAUGGCUGAAGUAAGUAAAGUUUUUAGAUUUAUUGUGAUCUUGUGUUUCUGGUGGCUUUUGGUGAUGUUUGUACCUUUUUUCGCGACAGGCGCUUUACUGGUUGGGGCUCGAAGAAUUCGCCCCGGGAGGGUGAGAAACGAGCCUUUAGGGGCACUUACUUUUCAUGAUUGAUAAGAUAUAUGAUUGAGUGUUUUUAUCGGAUAUGAAUCAAGCUGAAUGAGUUAAAUGAUAGAAAUUAUCGAGGGUUUUGAGAUAUCUCAAAUUUCAAUCAAUUUCAGUAAAUAAUGGACUAUUUUUAUCUAUCUAAACUAAUUCUCAAAUGUAAAUUAACAUCCACUUAUCAAAUAUGAUAUUUAUCUUCAACUCAAACUUCAAAAAAUAUAGAAAUGGAGAUAGAUCUUUAUGUUUAUAUUGAUUAGUGUCAUUUCUGUGGUAUUGGGAUUUUUUUUUGAGAAAAAUGAGGUUUUUGUGAUUUGGAACAUUUUUAUGGACUUUGGAUCUCUGUUUGAACUAGCAUUAAAAAAAAACCAGGAAUUUAUGAUGAUUUGUAACAAUUAUAUGGAAUUUGAGAUUUAUUAUAUGGAUUUACAGAGGUGCUGUUUCCAAACUUGUUGCUGAAAUCUGCAGCCAAAUUGAUUGUUCCAAUCUGGAAAAUAUUAUUACAGGUAUAAAAAAUAGUUUCAUUAAUACCUAAUUACAUACACUUUAUUCUACUAACAAAAAAAAAUGUUAAUUUUCUCACCUUCAAUUUAGGCCCUAAUUGUUGCAUGAACUCUUCAAGAGCAAAUCUUGCUCACCAACAACCAACUGCAACAAAGAACAUGAUCCAUCUAGCCCAGAGUAAGAUCAAAAUUUUCGCGCCUAUUUUUUAUAUUUUUUAUAUUUUUAUUUAGUUAUUCACCUCGAAUAGCAUCUGAGAGUUACUGGUGUCGUGCCAGUGAUAAGAAAAGGGUCGAUAGCUAUGUACGACUAUGGAAACGAAGGGGACAACAACAAGCACUAUGGACAGGCAACGCCUCCGGGGUACAAUAUCACUAGCAUCCCAAAUCAACUCCCUCUCUUCCUCAGCUAUGGCGGGAAGGAUCUUCUCUCGGAUGUCAAGGACGUGCAGACUCUCAUCGAAGCUCUAUCGGAUCAUGACCCGGAUAAGCUUGUGGUGUUGUAUAGAGAAGACUAUGCUCACUUGGAUUUUGUUUAUGCUACGAAUGCUAAGCAACUUGUGUACAACCCUCUCAUGGCCUUCUUUGGAUUGAACUAAAAUUUGUGUACAUUGUAAUAAUUUGCCUAGUUGUUAGAAUCUAUAUUUGAUCACAUGAAACUGUAAAAACAAUUAUUAUAGAAGAAAAAUAUAUUGUUACAUGUAAUGUAGCACUCAUUGGUCACUUUAUAAAUUCAUCUCGAUUAUGCAAAUAGUUUAAGGGACCCACUUUUUGAGUGUAUUAAUUAAAGAGAUGUGUGGGGUACACUUGCCAAAAAGGGAAAUGGGUACUCAUUUCAUGGACGGACGAAAAAGAAAAUAUGGGUACUCAUUUCGUGGACGGAGGGAGUACAAUAUAAUUACGAAAAAGAAUUCCCCGAAUGAACGUCGUCGUUUUUUUUUUUUAAUGGAAAGUGGGUCGAGAGGUCGAUCUUCGCUCGAGUGUUUAGUCAGUAGAGUAGGUAAGUUUGUGAUCGAAAAAUUAUACGUUCGAAUCUCACCAACACUUUAUAAUCAACUUUUUUUUUUUUUCGUUCGCGUUCGACUUGAUAUAGAACGACGACUCUUAUCUAAGUGAAGCACAUAAUCACAUAAACACGAAAUCAAUGACCUAACUAUCCUUUUUUUUUUGGGAACACACACAAUCAGUGGACUUCCCUAAAAGAAAAGGCUAAACAACUUUUUUUCUAUCAUUAUGAUUUUUCAUUUUCUGUAUUACUGCAUAUACUAAAAAAUAUUCUCUUUAAAAAAAAAAGUAAAUGUAAUAGGCUAACAGUUAAUGAUCACUAAAUAAGCUAACUCAGAAAUGAACACCGCAAGCAGAGGAUGAUAGUAGCAGUAUACUAACUCUUGAACAAGCAGCCUUCUGUUGCAUUUUCAAUCGUUUCGUAGAGCUCGUUUCGCCUCCGGCUCCCACAGGUUUCGAGGGCGUUGAACCACUUCAAGCCUUCAGUUGUUCCGUCAGUGAAUCUCUUUGGUUUCCCAAAUCACGGCCGCCUUCUUCUUUCAUCCGAAGUUUGUGUUUUCUAUUCUGAACAAGCAUUCUUUUCUCAGAGGCGAAUCUGUGAAGAUGGCUCGAAUAAAAUCUUCAACCUGCAACGGAGGAGACAGUGAUUAAUAGUAAAUUUUACGAAGAGUCUUUCUCGUUAGAUUUUGUUCGAGGUGUAGAGAAUUUCCGUACCUCUGAUGCUUCGAAGUUGCAAUCAGCGAGUUCACCGCUCUCCCAGGCAUCGGUGAUAGACUUCAAGGGCAUGUCCAAGAGUUCUAAGGGAAUAUGCAGGAAGAGUUUGAGAACAAAGUUGCUAAGAAACACAGAAAUAUGGUACAGUAAUCGAUAAAAGAAUGAUCACCGGCCAACUUUCUCAGCUUCCGAAUGGAUAAUACAAGAUUAUCCAUGUCCUUCUGAGCCUCUUGUGACUUCUCUCCCUCGUCAACGGCCAACAUGGGCUCGAGUAAAGAUGAGAGAUGCUCGAACAGCAGAUGGAUCAGUCGUUGUAGCUGUAUUUAGAAAGCCAGUGAGAAAGAUACUUUUUGUCGAACAAGUGUAUAUCAGUUCUUGCACUGCACCUGCAAUGUUUCUUCGGCAGCCAUAUCAUCUAUAAGAAGUAUCUCCUUUGCAAGUCUGGUAAAGACUGACUCUAGAAUCACGGUCAUGCUCUUCUCGUAGACGGAAGGAAGUAAUAAGGGUUCCCAGAUGAUGUGCACUUUCUCGACUACGAACGAAAUCUGACACAACCCAGGCAACAUCUCAAAACAGGAGAAAGGAAGUGAAGUCCAGGGGGAAGGCAUUGAAGCUUCUUCGCUUCAAAAAGGUGCUCAAUACCUGGUCGAUGCAAAAUUUGGCAGAUUCGAACUGUUUUAUUUGGUGGGUAUUUUGAAAUCCGUUGGCUCCAUCAAUAGCCUAGUCAACAACAAAUUACAGCAUAAUCAGAUAGGAAGAGAUUUGGCUUGUAAAAUGCACGCAAAGAAGAUACCACAAGAAGGCCCGUGCACAUAUCUCUAUUUCCACGAAGUUACCUGUUUUAAGUUGGACCUGACAAGCUGAAUUUGACGCUGCAAAACUUCUUCGGCCAGGAGUUGAAAUUUGGGAGCCAAAUCAAUAAAUACAGCAAGGUCCUUAACAGAACUAGGAAAGUAUGGACGAUACUGCAAUAUUAGAGCAAGGGGAUGCAUUACCUUGCAUUCAAAGUUAUAUACUUCAAACAUGUAAUAACAAAUAUCGAGACUCAUCUUCCAAGAAUCACUGAACUAGUUCAAUAGCUACUAGGUUUACCAAGAUAUAUGGAAAGAAAAGUAAUCAAUAUGCAGACCAUGCAUUCCUGCCUACCUGAAAUGCAAGCCCAAGAAUCUCCUGUGAUAGGUAAAGACAGUCAUUGUGCAUGAGAAUAGCCGCCUGGUUAAUGGAAUCAAGCUGCCUUUGAAGCUUUAAAAUUAAGAAGACAUGUCAUAACAUUAAUACAUUAUCAUGUUCGUUGAACUUUUAUGAAUAUGAUCGUAUGCAAGAUAGCAACUAUAAGCAAGGUAGCAGAGUAUUUUAGUAUUGGCAACCUCUUAUCUACAAGCUUUCUGCACUAACCUUCACAGGGAUGAUCGCUUCAUAAAGAACUAGAGCAUUUCUAGCAGCAUGGUAGAAUUCCAGUGCCACUUUUGGAGGUGACAAGCAAACAUCCUGCAAUAACCAGUCCAGUUAAUGGAUGAUACACGAAAUUGUUCUUCCACCAUUUUAUAUAGAGGAAUCCUUGCCAAAUGAACACAUUGGCAUUACAUUACACUCAGACCAACCUUCAGGGUUCGAUGCACAAGCUCCAUUAAUUCUUUAGCUGAUACAGACACCACACAUUCCUCAGAUGAAAACAGCAACAUAACACGGUUGGAGUCAGCACUCUCUUCUUUAUUAUCCCCCAAUUUUCUUGUAAUAUAGCCCUGCAGGCAUAUACACCGCAGCUGAAUAAGACAGACGAGCAGAAAACACUUACAAGAUUAUAAAUAUGUACUCACUUGAGCAAGGCUGAAAUCAGAUUGCAGAAGCAUAUUUCUGGCCCUCGCCAAAAUUUGAAUUUUCUUUCUUGAUGCAAAGUGCACUUCAACAUUGUCAGCAAAAUUACUCAGCUUAUGAUCUUUAUCAUUCGAUGAAGAUAUGAACUUAAGUUCCUUCAAAGCUGUCUCAAAAUCAAUUGUAAGUUUCCUGAUCUGUUGAAACUCAGCGAGCUUGGAAGCAUCAUCAGGAACAACCUGAAACCAGAUGGAGGGAUGUAAUGACUAAGAUGUAACUGAAAAUUUCCUCACUGAUCAAUCCAGUAGAGCUUUCUCAAAGCACAUAUAUAAGCUUGUAGGGAAAUCAGAUAGACAACCUAGCAAAGCUCACAUAUCUUCUCAUCAAAAUUCGUUAGAUAUGAACCAAUAUUGAAUAUUAAGACAAAUUAAACACAAACCUUGCCCAGGAAAUUUGAAAUGAUCAUAUCUGACAACCUUGGCCAAGUCAAUCUUCCAAAACAGCACAUCCAGGAGCCAUUGUUAAAGCAUAAAACUUUGCUGAAAAAAUCAAUAAUCUGAAUGAUGUUGGAGUACAUAAGUUCACCAUCAACCUUGUUGCCCUGUGAAUAUGAGGAUGAUUUAAUGGGCUACAACUACGAGUCUACGAGUAUAAUUAUAUAAAUGCAUAGCACAUGAAAGCUAAUUCUGGUUGCAGAUUCCUAAUUUGUACCUCACGCUCAACAGAUGGAGCCAUCUUAAGAACUGAUUCUUUGACACGACCCACAUCCAGGUUGUUUUCUUCUUCAACAAUAGGAUUUGCUUUACAACUCACCACAGGCAUAAAAGCGUAUUUAGUGAUCAAGUCUGCAAUUUUAGCAAGCCCAUAAUCAAGAACACCAGCAACCUACAUAAACACCACGGAUUAUUACGUAUUGCAGAGAAAGUUGUCACUGAGAAAUUAAUCUGGGAAUAUUCGUCAAAUUCAGGAUGAAGCAUCAUUAAGAAUUAAGUAAAUUUUUACUCACAUCCAUAGCAUUCAUAAUAGUGUACAGCUCUAGACCAUUAAUUCCAUCUACGCUUAUCUGCGACUUUACAUGAACCGCAUUGUCGUUCUGAUCAAACCGCACAGCAUUCUCCAUAAACCUCAAAAGUAGCUCUUGAAUCUACAUCCAAAUUGAAUGGCUCUAAAAACAAAUCAUAAAAUUGGAUAAAAUCACCAUUUCGUUACUCACAAUCAAUCAAAAAUGUAAGGUUCAAAUGUCAAUUGCGCCACAAGCAAAUUAUACAGAUCGAUUCUCAGUCAACUCAUAUCACAAAAAAGAAAAUAGCACAAAUAUGAACCAUUUCUAAGUAAAAAUGGUUCAUAUUAGGUGGAGAAACCUAAUUGCAGAUGCAUAAUAACUUAAAAUCACACCUUUCAAAUAAUUCUAUACUCAGUCCUUCAAUCUAACUAAGGCAGAGCAAAAUUAGGUGGAAAUCAUCAAAACUUCUAAAUAAGUAUAGCCAUAAAUAUAGAUUGUACAUCACAAAAAGCAUUCAAUUUCAAUGCAAACUAACAUUUGCAGAAAUUCAAUUACUUUCCGCAAUUCCUCUAAGCAUACAAAUCAAAUCAAAAAUCCAAUUCACCUCCUCGAAACAAUCCGCCCACUGCUUUCUGAGUAUGGCGUAAACCGCCGGCUCACCUUCCGCCGCCGUCUCAGCAUUGCCACCGCCCUUCACUCCAAGAGCUUCCUUCAAUUCCCUCAGCCCCUCCGCCGCCUCCACCACUCUCCCACUCUUCACGCCCUCCCUAACCACCCCCAAUUUCCCAUCCAAUUCCAAAAUUACCCCCAAAAACUCCAGAAUCUCCCUCUUCUCCCGCGCCUCCCGCCUCUUCUCCACAAUCUCCCUCACAAUUCUCCCCACAUCCGCCUCCACCGGCUGAUCGCACACGAGGCUCAGCAGCGCGGCGACGUCGCCGGCGAGAUUCUCCGACUUGGAAACGACGUCGGAGCAGCGGGAGAAGAGGGCGGAGAAGUCGGAAUGGUGGGAGAGGAGGUACGAUUGGACGGUGGAUUUGAUCCGGAGGGAGUGCGCGUCGAGGCGGGAGAUGAGGAGGCGGAGAUCCGGCGCCGACAGCGGCGAGGAGGGGGAUUCCGGCGAGGAGAGAAGAUCUCGGACGUUGAUUGUGUUGAUGAGGACGUCCAUCGCGAGAGAGUCCACUGUAUCGACUGUGAGGAAGUCUGCAGCGGAUAAUAUGGCGUUUGCGGAGAAAUAAUGUUUGGGUGAAUUUCAUUUUGUCACCCCAAAUUUUUUAUAAAUUUCGGUUUUCACCCUCAAUUCAAGAAAAUAGCAUAUUUCUCCGUAAAAUCUUCCAUUUAAUGUACCGUAUAAUAAACAAGCAUUUUGAUCUGAAUAUGUAUGUUCAUAAGUUAUGUUGGUUCAGACUUCAAUCUUUUAGUCGCCGUCUACUGUUCGAAUUUUCGACCUACGUCACAUCUUUAAAUCGAAAUCAUUGCAUCCGUCAUUAUAUAUAUAUACACAGUAUUUUAAAAGAGAAAAUGUAUACUCCCUUCGUCCACGUUAAGUAUGGUCUUUUUACUAUUUUUGCUCGUCUACAAUAACUGUGAUCUUUCCAAUUUAGGAUAUACUAUAUAUCUUUGUACUUUUACUUCAUUCAUACACAAUUUACAUAAAGUAUAUCUCACAAAUCAUUUAUUAAUUACCAACAAAUUAAUUUUGGUGGGAUUGUUUUCUCAUUUUAUAUACAUCUCUCGAUAUUUUUUAAAAAUUUGUGUAUUUCAUCUACACCACACUUACGUGGACGGAGAUGAAUAUUUUGAGGGGAGGAGAGAAGAAGAAAUAGUCUUAUGAAUAGAAAAUUGCAUCCACUUUUAAUGUUACGAUCAAAUGUAAUAAAAGAUUUCGAUAUUACUUUAGCAACCACCCACCGAAUGCUAUUAAUUAGAAUUUAGAACUAUUAUUGCAUUUGCAGGCAUAAGUACAUGCAUGUCUGCUAGAUUUUCUUAGUACUAUAAAUAUCAGAAAGAAAUACUAUAUAUAUAUAUGAGAAUAAAGUUGACAAAUUUUGACAAAUUAAUUAUAUCUGCCUUUGCAUUUAUAGCCCCAACUAAAAUUGGAGGUGCAACUUCUCACGAGCGAUUGAUGUGAGACUUCUUAGCCCUUUCCCACUUCGUUGCGUGUCUCCUUAUAGUAGAUUUAAAUUACUUUAAAUUAUUUGUCUAAGAUUGCUUAUAAUAAUAAUUAAUCUUUUAAGUAGUUUUUUAUUUUCUUCAUUCAUUUCUUUAUGUAUCUUGCAUGCACUUUAGAAAAAACUUUUUGUAGUCCCAAAGCUAUGACUUAAUUAAGGUUUACACUGUAUAAAUUUUUUCAAAUUAACUUCAAUUUUUAAUAAUAAAUUAUUGGGAUUGUUCAUUAUGUGAUAAAUAAGUUUUAUUUUUACAAUUAAUAUUAAGAUAUCAAAUUUAAUAAUAGGACACAAAAAUAUUUCAAACCUGCUAUAGAAAUGAGAUUCAGUAUACCACACUCCCAUUUUGUGUCUCACUUUCAUAUUUACUUGCUUAUGUAUUAUUCCUUCAAUUUCAAUCUUGUAUACUGUAAUUUAAUUUUGUGAUUAUUAACUAGAGUUUAUUCCAUCUAAUUAUGGUAUAUAAUUAUUUUUUAUUAUUUAAUUUUACUUUUAUUAGUUAAUAAUAGAUUGCUAAAUUCAAAAUUAUGGUCUAUAAUUUUUUAUAAUUUUAAUUUUCUAAAAUAAAAAUUAAGUAUAAUUCAUAAUAUUAUAAUAAUUUUAAUUUUUAUAAAAAAUAAUAUUAAAAUAAUAAAUAUAAUUAUGAGACACUGAAUCUCAUUCCCUCCAUAGAUCAAUGAUUAUUCGACCAAAUAGUUAAGAAUAAAAGUAUUAAUGAGUGAUAAUAACUAAAAGUAAAAGUUCUUAUGAAUAAAAGUAAGCAUUAUUCUGAAGAAAUGUAAACUUUAAAACCGUCUGCAUCGUAUGCGGUUGACCGCACAGGAGAAUUUGCGUAAUUUGUACAUACAAUAGACAAUAUCACACAAAUUGACAAUAGAAAAAACAACACAAAUUGACAAUAGAAAAAACAAACAUUAGAAACUAAUAGUAGACAACAAUAAGUAGGAGACAUAAGAGUGAUUGACAUAUACAUAGAUUGACAUAUAGAUUGAAAUAUAACUCGAACAACAUCAAGUAUUAACCACACUAGCUCGUCUAAGUCGAGAUAUUAUGCGGUGCAUCUUCGAGUAGCAGUAGUUGUGGGUGACGAUCGAUCCCAAAAACGACACCGUACUGAACUCAAAACCUAGAUACGUACGUGGGUGACGAUCGACCCCAAAAACGACACCGUACUGAACUCAGAAACUAGAUACGUGCUAGUAAUACGAAAUUAGACUCGAACAAGUCUAGAUUUUUUUGUAAUUUUUUUUUUCUCACAAAAAUUCACGCAAACUAUGCUUGAGCAAAUAAUCAGCUAUAAUUUGACUGGAUUUCUGAGUUGGGUGGAAAGAAUCCCAGAAGACAUAUUUAUUUGCAUCUGUACAUGUAAAUGGGUUAAGCUGGUCGCACAUAUAUCCCAUUUCAAACAUUCCUGUCGCACAACAUGCAACUGUUGCUACUUCAAAUCCUGUCAAUAUAUUUCACAACAAAUUAACAUCAAACAAAAUAUUCCAAUGUUAUCUUGAAAAUUGUGAGAACUAAUAUUAUAAUACAGCGAACUAAUACGUUCAGUGCAAUAAAUUAUACGCGUUCAAAAAAUUAAAUUUCUCGCCCUUCAUGAGAUUCGAUUUCAAAACCACAAAUCCACUUUUCUCGAUCUAAGGGUCGUAAAUGAUUCUUAAUAUUUAUUUUAAAAUUAGUUUUUAUUUUAUUAUCUAAUCCAUGUAUGUGUGUAUGUGUGUGAGAUAGAGAGAUAGAUGAAUAAAUGAACACAAAAACUACCGUACAACCAGACUAACCCACACCCAAAAUAGUGUUAUUUAUAAGGCGAGGGUGCAACCUGAUUGUACGGUACACAAUGUUGUACCCAAGACCACCCCCUAAAUGAAUUGCAUAAUAUUUUGAACUAGUUCAUUAAACUAAUUUCUCAAUGAGAUGAACAAAUGAAUUGCAUAAUAAUAAAAAAGAAAAUCAAAAUAUGCGAUUUUCUAAUCUUUAAUUACUAGUUGCAACAAGACCCAAAUCGAUAAGAUAUAUAUUUAUGCCUUAAAUCAACUUAUAAUUAAUCUAUAAAGAAACUAACCUAAAAGAAGAAUGUCUCAAUUGAUUGAAUUAGCUAGCGCGCAGACUAUAUAUAAUAGGCUAUUUCAUAAUGUUCCUUUUCUUUUUUCGUAUUGUCACAUCAACAUUAAAUUAUCUAGUAACAAAUAUUUACUACAAAACCUUCAAUUUGAUAACUACCUCUAAACGAUCUAAGUUAUAGCUUCUACUUUUCCCCUCAAAAAAAGUUAUAGCUUCUACUUAAUGCUCACAUGCUUCAUAAACACAUGGUACGACUUUGUACCAUACAUUAUAUAAUAUCACCCACAUUUGCUAUUUUUCCAGCGAGAAAUAUAUCAUAGACAAACCUACAAAAUUAUUGAAAUUUAUUCAUCAUUAGAGAAGAGUUUAUAUAUAUUAUAUGCCCAACCACCUUCAUCUCCUUAAUUCAUAUGCCCAUAUUGACAUGCAAACUAUUUACAAAAGAAUUCAUCUAGAACAAUUGCACACUAAAUUCCAUCAAAAAUUAAUUUAAACUCCAAUUUUACCUAAAAACUAAAUGAUCAAUUUUUUUCCCUUCCAUUUUACCAUAUUACAUGGGAUUUAUUUAUGUAUUUAUGGGAAUUUACUAGUGUUUGGAUCUAAAUCUUGACACGUCAUGACAAUCUAACACGAGACUGGCCUCUCGAAAUAUCGACACAAAAGAAAAAAAAAAAUUAAUCUUGACACGUCAGACAAUCUAACACGAGACAUGCCUCUCGAACCUCGAAACACAUAAAUUAAUAAUGCAAGAAACUUCACAAGUCACAACCAAAAAAAACUUACCAAAUUGAGAAGGCUUCUUGAUCAUUUGCAUGAAAAUCCCAUAAGGGUUGGAGAAAACAACCCUAAUCCCACUCAUCUUCCCAUUCAUCUUCUCAACCAAACCACCCAACUUCUCAUUGAAAUGCAAGGCAACAACAUUGUACCCUUCCAUGCACUCAUUCCCAUUCCCAUUGACAUAGUUUGUUGACCUCUCCAAGGGCAAGCAUCCCAUCGGCGGGAGCCCGGUCAACGAGAUCUUCCGGGCCCCGAGGCCGUAGAUGCCCGUCAAGAACUCCUCCACGAGGCCGAUGAGGAAGUCCUGAUACUGAUCGACCGUGGUGUAUUUCGACCUCGUGCUCGGGAUCGUGUAGUAGUUCUCUAGGAAGUCAUUUGUGCCUAAGCUUACCAAAUAGAGAGCCUCAUUUACUAUGGAUUUGGCCUUUGCUUCACCCACAUAGGCUUUGAGCUUGUUUUGAUAUUCCUUGUAGUAUUCCACCUCUUUCCAUAGAGGAAUCACAUUCUGCAGCAGAUCCCAAAAUUCAAAAUAAAUAUAAAUAAAUUGAUGAUAAUGGUCAAGAUACGACAUAGAUAUAGGAAAUGAACAAAUCGACUUGAUUUUUAUGUAAAUUUAUAAAUUAAUGCAUCAAUAAUAAUUUUUGACGUAUUGGAAUUAAAAUAAAUUUAUGAAACAAAAAAGAAAGCUAACGUGAAUUAAAGAGAGGCGGUGCUCACGAUUAUCACUCACGGUAAGGUAUAUAGCAUAAUGUAUUUAUUUAUUUUAAAAUAUAUUAUUAAACGACCAUUGCUUUAUUAAUACUUAUAAUAAAUUAUUAUUCAAAGCACAAAUGGCAUGUAUGCAGUAUGCAUGUCUCUGUUGCACAAUAAAUAGUGCUUAUUUUAAUAAUCUGAAUUUUUUUUCGAUCGAAGUGAAGUAUAUAGUUAUCGAUACCAAAUCUACUAAUAUUUAUAUACAUACCUAUUUCAGCAACAACAAAAAUGAAAUUAUGCAAAAAGUUUUAUGAGAAUCCAAUUACUGCAUUUUGUUUCAGAAACAAACUCAAAAAAAAUCCUCAUGCAAAUUUAAUUUUGUAUAUAAAUACCUAUUUCACCAAAACAAAAAAAGAGUAAUCAAAUUAACAAAAUUAUAAUUAUGCAAAAAAAAUUAAGAGAAACUAAUUUUCCAGCAUUUUAUAACAGAAAACAUGAAAAAAAAUCUCAUGCAAAUUUACCGCGUUUUCAAUAAGCAGUAGAGCGUCUCGUUAAAAUCCAAUCUAGAACUUACGAGAACAUUCGAAGUAACAUUGUCGAAUCCGGUGCCGGCGGAGGCGAAGCAGACGCCGGCGGCGAAGUCGGAGAUGUUAUACUGCGGAUCCAGGUACGCCGGCACGAACGGCCGGAGACCGAACGCCUCGGAGAUGAAAUCCGGCGGAAUGCGGCCGUUCGAGAACCUCCCCGUCGGGCGGCCGCCGAAGAAGUCGCGGCCGUAGGGGCGGAAGUUGCUCCGCAGCACGGUGGAUAUCUGGUUGUUGUUGCCGGCGUCGACCGAGGAGUCUCCGAACACGAUCACCGCCGGGACCGCCGCAGCGGCGCGCCGCCGAGGAGGCAGAGGAGGAGGCAAGCUGCGGGAGCUAGGAGAGGAGAGCUAGGCAUUGUGGAAUUAAUUUUUGUGAAAUCAGUUUUGGGGGAAAUAUUUUUUCUCUUUUUGGUUGGAUGUGAUAAAUGAGAAGGGUUUUAUAUAGAAAUUGGAGAAAAGUUUGUUGGUUGAUUUAUUUAAUGGAAUUGGGAGUUGAGAGGAAAAAAGCUUUAAAUUAAGCAUUAAAUGAGAGUGCAUUGCUGUGAGGUGGGUAAAUGGGUUGGCAGCAGAGGAAAUGCACCCACUGCUGCUAUAUAUAUUGUUUUUUCAGAAGAAUAAAUGUACUCUUCCUCCCACCGCGAUAUCGUUUCCACAUUGCUGACUGCGCGAAUUUUAAGAAAAGUGGUGAACAAUAAUGAAUAUUGCAGUGAGUGAAGUUUGACCCCACAAUAAAGACACUUUUUGAUAAAAAUAUAAAGGUUAAGAGAAUAAAGUGUUACGUGGAUCCUACAACUAUAAAUGGAAGUGGAAACGAUAUCGCGGACGGAGAGGGUAUGUGUUUUGAAGUGAUUUAACUAUCGUGUUUCAGUCUCGUAUUUUAUUUUAUCACUUAACGUAUAUUUAUGUUUUAUUUGAAGUGUCUAUAAUUUUGAUUAUAGAGAUUGGUGCCGGGUUGGAGACGGGGCGAACUUAAUUACGUGUGAUGGAACACGGUAAUAAUUUUUUUAAAAAGAAAAAUAUUUUAAAAUUGUUAAAGUAUGAGUAUUUUGUGUGACUCAUAGUACUAUAGUUUUGAUCACCAAAUCAAAUCAUAAAAAUAUUAUUUUUUCAAAAUCUCCAACUCGAAAUUUAGAAAAUAUAGCUUACACUAGAUAUUUUUUUUCUGCUUCCGUCCUUCUCUACUAGCAUGUGUCUACCAUUAUGUAAGAUUGUCUAACUUAAUAAAAUACGGCUAUUAUUGAAGGAAAAAAAAGGAAAAAAAGAACCUAAGAGAACCCUUGACAACAAAAAAAAACGUGGACUAAGGGUCGGACCUCAUUAAAACCCAACCGUAAAGGGGUAUGUAAGAUUGUCUAACAAGUCAAGAUUCAUUAGAUGUUCAUAUUUUGAUUAAUUUAGUCCUAUCUCUUAACAUAUUUGUAGAUUUAUUGAAGUGUUGAUUACACAUGGAAACAUAUAUUACCCAUUAAAAUAUACUAAGUUGAAAUGAGAAGAGAACUAAGACACCAUUUGUGAACUCAAAAAUUUCCUCCCAAAUUAAAAUACUCUUUAUUUUCUAUUUUCAUUCCUUUUUUGCUUAUGGGAAUUACUUGGACCACAAUAUGGUACAAAUAAGUAUAAAAUGUUUUUUGUUAUUGUACUUUUAUAUACAGACAUGUACAUUUAUUAAUUUCUGCUCUCAUUUUUCUUUCUUUUAUUACUGAAAGAUAUUCAAAUCGCUGCAGGAAAUAAAAGGUCAUUUAAUGGUACAAAAUAAAAUGAUGUAAAUAUUGUCAUUUACAUAAUAAAUGAUUAGUUGGACUUUCCCAAUUAGAGGUGUCCUUUUAUUGCACCAAUAACAAAUCAACCCUGGACCAAUCUAUAUGGCAUGUGCAAUAAAUAGUAAUUACUACUAAUUAUACAAUUGUAUAUACUCGUAAAUUUCCUACUGCUCAGUAUACUUAUUAAUUAUUAGUUUACUAAUUAUUGAUAUAUGUAAAGAAUAAAUUAAUGAAUAAAUAAUUUUGCAAAAAUAUUGGUGAUAGCACUACAUUCCCAAAAAAUUGUGCAUUCAAAUCUCCACCUGAAAUGGAGGCUAUUUAGUAACAAUAUCUUUUAUUUUCUUUUUCAUGAAACAUUGUUAUCAUCGACGGGUCCCUCUCAAACUAUUAUUUUAUUUAAUUUUUCAGCUGAUUUCUAGUUGCUUGUUUUAAUUUCUACUUCAAUUCGUUUUUCUAUUAUUCUUUUUUAACUGAAUAAAUGCAUGGACUCUGUUGCAAAUGUGAUGAAUAAGGAAAUUGCUAAAAUCUUAGAGUAGUAUAUAAAUAUGGAGAGAGGUUCAAUAAAAAAUACUAUAUAGAAAGAAGGAGAAUGAAUUCGAACAAGCGAAUAAGUUAAUAAUUUCAAUGAACAAAUCAUCUUUCCUUAUGAACAGCCAUUUCUGUCUGGGUUCGAAUCUUGGAGGAGGUGAAUUUUUUAACAUAUUAAAUAGAUAUGUUUGUUCAUUAAUUUUAUUGGUUUAUUCGAAAAAUUUAUUGAUUUAUUUGGUAUUCUUCAUUCUCUCAAUAUAUAUCAUUCUCCAUGGAAUUAACGACACUCUAAUUGCACGUAAUUUGAGUGUAGUUUGAAACAUAUUCGAGAUUAGUAAUGCUUGUUUAAUAUUUUUAGGCUUAGAAGAGUAGUAAAAUAUGUGACAGACAUUAUAAAUUAGGGAGAGUCUUAUAUUAGAUGGUUUCACGAGUCAAAAUUCAUGAGACAAACGAAGAUUGAAAUUCAAACUAUCGAUCGAAUGACAUCUCUAAUUAAAUUACAAAUGUGUGACGACAUUAUAAAUAGGGAGAGUCUUAUAUGAGAUUGUCUCACGAAUCAAAAUUCAUGAGACAAACUAAGAUUGGAAUCCAAACCAUCAAAUGACAUCUUUAAAUUACAAGUAUGCAAUUGAAUAUAUGUUUCGAUCCAAAGAUAUCAAAUCAUGGACAAAACUCAUAUAAAAAGUUUUUUAGUGUAAAAUAAAGGAUAUAUACACACUCCAACACAUUAUCACAUUAAAUAUAGGAUAAAUAUCAUAUCAAACCAGAAUUUAGCUCAUCAUUAAAAAAUGUCCAAAACUUUAAAAUAUACAACAAAUACUUACAUUUCAACAUUUUUUUCUCAAGCACUUAGUACUGAAAUUCUAACUUGAUCACACGUCAAAGUCUCACGUGUAAAUCCAAAUAUAGUUUUAAAAAUGAAAUGGAAAAUAAUUUUUUAUAUUUGUAUUUGCUAGAGAAGGGUUGUUAAAUAUUCACGUUGUAUCCAUGUUUGUACCAUAUAUUACGAAAAUAUAUACUAUGUAUUUAGGUAUAUAUGAUUUUCUUUUAAUUGGAGAUGUUUGAAUUCCAGAAAUAUCUAUGAUUUAUUGUGCCGCCGAAGCUUUCUAUCAUUAAUAGUUGCACAUUCUGGUUGUACUAAAAAAAAUAUUAUAAUUUUUUUCUAUAAAAAAUAUUUUUAUAUCUAUUUAAUUUGCUCAUGUAUUAAUUCAAGUUGCAUUCCCUAAUUAAUAACGUAGGGUUGUGUUGAUUGAUGCAUGUAGUGUGAUAAUUAAUUAACUAACCUCUUAAGUUGCAUAGUAGUAUAUCAUUUCAUGAACAAAAUUAGCCGUAAAUCUAAUUACGGAUUUAUUUUAAAACAAGCAAUUAAACCCAAAAAUUACAGUGAGGUUGUUUUCAAGAUAUGAACGACUGCAAUUAGUAAUUAAUUAGUAAUUAUUAAUUAUUAAUUUGUUAAUUAAAUUUAGAAUUUCGAAUUAAAAUCUAUUAAUCAUACUUAUAAUUUAAUUAAACAAGUGCACGAUCUGUGCUUUAGAAAGGAAAAGAAAAAAAAAAAACUUGAAAUAUUUAUCUUAAUACAUAAACAAAUGACGAUAUAAUGAAGAAGCUCACAAUAAUCUCUUAUUCAAGGUAUAGUAUGACAUAAUUAUCAAAUUAUUACAAUAUUGAUAAAACGAGUCUAACCAAAUCCAAACCUUUUAAAUUAUUCAGACUCGAUACAUAGAAAAAAUUAGUUAAAGUAGAGACAAAUUUGAUACUAUAUCUAUGUACCAAUAACAAUUAUAAAAUAAACGAAUACAGAGCUCCCACGAAAUAAAAGACAUAUGAUAUGCACGUGCACAUGCAUACCCUAAUGUCCCAAAACGGUGACUUCUGGUUUAUCGUCGUCGGGAUCUUCGUCACCGAUCUUCUUGAUGUUGCCGAUGACGUGCUCGUAACGACUAUCGUCGGCAUCCUCGUUGGCGAGAUCGUGAAAAGUGUGGAUGCUAUGGCCGGGUUGGUCCACGGCAUGGACUUGUUUUACUAGGAUCAAACAAACCAAAAUUCCCACCAAAAAAAUCAUUGAAACUUUUGGCCUUGAUGCUGCCAUUGAUAACUUCUUUAUGAUUGUUUAUUUCUUUUUUCUUCAAAAUUUUGUUUGAUUUGGUUGCUAUGAGCAAGAAUUGAAGGUGAAUUGAGAUUUUGAGAAGAAGGGGGGAUUUAUAUAUAGGAUAUGUUAGGUGAAGUUAGUUUAGUUAGUUGGAUGUUUUUGUGGUUGGAGUUUUUUUCCCUUUUCUAUUUUUGUGCAGGUUAAUUAUUUUUAGUAUACGAGAGAAGUUCCCAAUUAAAAUGUUAAUUGUUGUCAUUUGUUUUGCUUUAAUUAGGAUAUUAAUUAAGAAUGUAUACCAUCCUAUUUCACUUGUUGUGGUUAUUUUUAAUUAGCUACAAGAAAUUUAUGAAUCGCUAAAGUUAUAUUGAUACAAUAUGAUGUGAUUAUAAUUUAUAAAAUAGUAGUAUAAAGUAAAAUAUUAAGAAAAAGUAGUUAAUUGUGCUUAAGAUAUAUGAACAUAUCCAUCCGAAGUUGGUUUUGCACGUGAAUUAAAAAAUAUAUCUUGCUUCAAAAUGUACAAAUUUUCAAUUAUUUUCAUUAAUGUUCUUUUUUAUGCACGAUUGACAAUUUCGGACGAAUCAAUAUUAUUCUAGUUAGGUGAAGUGACAAAUUAAUGUCAUCUUGACUAACUGAAAUGGCGUAGACAUUCAACUACAUCGUUUAGUACAUCGACCGUUUAAGUCAUAUUGUAGACAUUUAGCGUUCACCUGGUCAAUAUUAAUUUAGGCAAUGCAGCGUUGAAAAUUUAGAAUAAUAAGCUUGUGUAAGAAUUUUUAUUAAUUACAAAUUAGAAUUCGAUAAUAGUUCUCCAUAAUUUAAUUUCAAAAUUACAAAAAUAUUUAAUGGUUUUUCCUUAACUAGCAAUUCUAGUCCAUAAAUAAAUAAAUAAAACUAACUAAUGCAUCAUAGCCACUUUAAUUUCUUUCAUAAAAUUCUCUUAAAUCCCCUCUGAAAAUUUUACCCCCACAUAAACACAAGAACAACCACAAACACAAAGAGGGGCCAAUAGUUUUAUCAACUAAUUAAAUAUAUAUUAAAUAAAACAUCUUAGGAAGUUGAAGGGGGAUUUGCAAGAAAUAUCUAUAAAAAAAAAUCAACCAAAUAAAGCAAAAAUGGCAACAAUGGUGAUGAAGUUGUUGGUGAUGAUGAUUUUUGUAUGUCCAUUUCUUGCAACAUCGGCGGAGGGCAAAAUCCUAAUUUAUGGCGCAAUGCUGCCUAAUAUUAUCCCCAGACAAACGUCGCCGCCGCAACCGGCAAACAUCUACACUAGCCGUCGCCAGCCUAGCCCCGACGGGGCUAGGCCGCCGGCCUCGGAGGAUGUUUUGGCCACCAUGUUUUCUCAUGAGACGUAACAUGGAAAAUUGUAACGAACAUGUAUUAUCAAUAUAUUAGAUUAAUUGGCUAUAAAUUUAUAAAUUGUAAUGAUUUCUCGAAAAUUUCCUAAAAUUAAGAUUUCGAUCAAAUCAAAAUUGGUGCGGCAUCGGAAUUUUUUAGACCGGGGUUAUGGUUUCUAAAAAAAUAAAUGUCACAUCAAUUUUGAUUUGGUCGAAAUCUUAAUUUUGGAGAAAUUUUGAAAAUAAUCAAAUUUCGUGUAUUCAUUUACCAAUUUUAUAAAAUAUGAAAAAAAAAAUCGAAGUUCACUAAUAGCCGAUAGAUUUACAGUCAAUUAACCCUAUAAUAUUAGUAUUUAUUUUGUUAUUCUUGCGUGGUAAUGUUACAUGGAUUGUCAAUUAGAUAUAAAUAAUGAUGAUAUAUGUAACAAGCCCAUAUAUUUCUUAAAUUACAUUAAGAUGAAAUUAUAAAUUAUACUCCACAUCAAUUUUCAACUUUUUUCUUUUUAUUCUUUUUUGUUUGUUUCUUUCAGCAUAUUUUUAUGAUAUAUAGUCUGAACACAUACAAGCACAAGCUAGCAAUGCAAAUUUGACUUGACCUGAAUUUACUUCGACAGACGGUCUUCGUUCUUUCACCCAUUGUAAUUUGGGGAUUUAUGAAAAGUGUGAAAUAAAUUGAGCAAGCGUUUAAAUUCAGAGAAUUGAAGGUAAAGAUUGAAGUUCAUGGAAAGUUUUGAAAUCGGGCCAAAGUUCAUGGGUUUUGGCGUAAUUAUCCAUUUUUUUUAAUUUCAUUUUUUAUGCUUAAUUUAAUUUUAUUAUUAUCAAUCAUGCUUUAUUUCACCCACUUAGAGCACAAAAAUAUUUUUUAUAAUCUAUUUUUUAUUUUUAAAAAUUUAAAUUUUUGAAAAUAAAAUUUAAAGAUAAUGUACACUAAUAUUUAAUAAAUCUUAUAUUUAUAAAAUUUAAAAUAAUAAAUAUAAUUAAUAAUGAAAUAGGAUGAUAUACACAGAAAAUGAAAAAAGAAAUAAUUACAAAUUACAAAUAAAUAUUCACUCCGUCCCGCCCAAGAUGCUAUAUAUUCCUUUUCGGGCCGUCCCAACGAAGAUGCUACAUUUCUAUAUUUGGUAAAAAUAAGAAAUUUUAAACACUUAAUUAACACUAAUUAAGUAUUUCUUUAUUACAUUAUCACUUUAUUACCUUUUCUUUCUUACUUUAUCACUUUCUCUCUCCUACUUUAUCACUUUAUUAUUAUAUACUUAAAACAUUAAUUUACAACUCCUUAAAUCCCGUGUCGAAAAGUAAAUGUAGCGUGUUGGCCGGGACGGAGGGAGUAUAUAAUGAUAAUACUAGUGCUCCAGCCUCCAGUCGCUAUCGUUCAGUGUGAAUGCUAGCUGUAAAGUGAGAAAUUCAUGCUUUGAAUAAUAGAGGUAGAUUGGAAAUCAAUCUCAUCUUCAUUCGCAGUUUCACACUCAUCUCAUAUUCUCUCUGCAACUCCCAAAACAACCAUGGCAGCAGCUUAUGCAACUCUAGUUUCUGCUUUGAAUAUCAUAGACAACCUUCACCAUCAUCCCCGCCCUCCUAUUUCUCUCCCCAUUAAACAAGUUGAGUCUCUCACUCAAAAGAUUAAUUUCCUGCUGGAAUUUCUCGAGGGGUAUAACCCCCAUCGUGGCUACUCCAAAGAAGCAGAUCCAUUGGAGUCUCGCGUUGCAGAUGCAGCUUAUGCGGCCGAACACGCCAUUGAAUCUCAUAUUUUCGAUCAAUUCACAAAUAAUGGAGAAAAUAUGAGCUGUGAUGGCUUGUAUGAAGCUCUGGAGAAGGUGAUAGAAGAAAUGGUUUCUAUCGAAGAGGAGGCCAAGCAAAUUCAAGCGAGAGUUGGAGUCCAACAUCAGCUGCACACAAAAUCAACGACUUCGGAUUCCUCGAGAUCUUCUUCGUCUUCGAUUCCGCAGCAGAGUAGCAUGGUGGGUGCUGAUGAUGUCAAGCUUCAAUUGAUGGAUAAGCUCACUUCUGAUCGCCUUCAUCUACAGAUCAUUCCCAUUGUAGGGAUGGGCGGCUCGGGUAAGACCACUCUUGCUAGAACUAUAUAUGAAGAACGUCUUAUUAAGGAGCAUUUUGAUAUUUGUGCGUGGGCUACCAUCUCUCAAGAAUAUAGCAUUAGAGAAAUGUUUGCAGUAGUUCUUCGUCAGUUUAAUAUAGGAGUUGAUGACGAUUUGAAUGAGGAUGGAUUAGGAGAAAAGUUGUAUAAACAUCUUUAUGGUAGAAGAUACCUAAUUAUAAUGGAUGAUAUGUGGAGCAUUGAUGCAUGGGAUAGAGUGAGGAAUUAUUUUCCAAAUAACAAAAAUGGCAGCAGAAUAGUGGUAACAACAAGACUAUCAGAUUUGGCUUCUACAUUACCCAACUCUGAUAGCCUUGGGAUGAAACUUUUGGAUGAGGCUGAUAGUUGGGAGCUUCUCUCCAAAACUGUGUUUGGGGAAGAAGGUUGCCCUCUUGAAUUGGAGGAAGUCGGAAAAUAUAUUGGAAAAAGCUGCAAAGGACUUCCAUUGUCAAUUGUUGUGAUUGGAGGCCUUUUGGCAAAGUCCAAACAUGAAAGAGAGUGUUGGGAAGAGAUAGGGGAAAACUUGAAUGCAAGUGUUAAUUUAGAGGAUGAUGAGCGUUGCUUGAAAAUACUAUACAUGAGUUACAAGCAAUUGCCAAUACAUUUGAAACCAUGUUUUCUCUAUAUGGGAGUUUUUCCCGAAGAUGAGGUGAUUCGUAUGUCAGAGCUCAUUAGAUAUUGGGUUGCGGAAGGAUUUGUGAAAGCAGUAAGUGGGAAAAGUUUGGAAGAGAUAGCACAAGAGUAUUUAAAAGACCUUAUUGGUAGAAAUCUUGUGCUUGAGAGUCUUGUUGAAAGUAAAUUUUGAAAAAUGGGGAGAGAAAUGUUGUCAAAUUCAUGAUUUGUUGAGAGACUUGUGCUUGAGAGAAGCUGAAAAAGAAAGGUUUUAUAAUAGCGCAUCAGAUAAUGUAGGCAUAAGCGUCUUGCCGCCUAUGUCACAAGCUCGUUCUUUGACGUGGAAUGGUCAACAAGAACUAUCACCUCUAAAUAUGAGCUUGAUGAGGAUAGUGAAAUGGAAUAAAUCCAUAAAAUCCAAGAAGAUUUAUUUGCACACAUCGAUCAAUUAGUUAACUCACGGGUCCUUGAAAUAGUUUUCAAGAAUAGAGGAGGAUUUUAAUUUUCCUUGUUCAAUAUGGCGAUUUUGGAAUCUACAAACACUAAUUGUUUCCACCACCGGAGAGGUUACUGCGCCAAUGAUUUUUGGUACAUGCCUCGCAUCAGGCAUGUUCAGAUCUUGAGCUUCGUCUCACAAAUCCUCCUAACGAGCAAGAUGACAUUGUUUUGGGAAAUCUGCAAAGCCUCGGGAGAGUAUUAGAUUUCAAGUGUAGUGUACAAGUUGUCAAAAAAAUUCCCAAUAUAAAAGAAUUGGUUUUGAAAUGGGAGAGCGUGAUGAUGAGAUGUAUUGUUUGAGCAAUCUCGAUUGUCUAACUAAACUUGAGUCCUUGAAUUGUGGAUUUCGCGAAGAAGUGCAAUCAACUUUCCCCAUUCGCUCAAGAGUUUAGUUAUUCUUUACAGAUGUUGGGAAGACAUAUUGGAUAAGGUGGUGUGUUGCCCCAUCUUCAGAAGCUCACACUCGAGUAUGGGAGUUUCAAGGAAGGGAAGUGGGAAACAACUGAAGGCCAAUUUCGCAGCCUCAAAUUCUUCACUCUUUACUUUGUGAAAAUCUAGAAAUCUGGAAAAUUGAAAGCUCCCACUUUCCAUGCCUUGAGGCCUUCUCUUAUCUAAUAACUUGCAGGAAAUCCUUUAGAGUUCGCAGAAAUACCCACACUUAGAGAAAUUGUUGUGGAGGGUUGCAGAGAUUCGGUUGUGGUUUCUGCUAAAAGAAUAUCAGAGGAACACGGGGACUAUUACGGGGAAGGAGCCCUUCAAGUUCGCGUUCUCCUCUAAGCUGAACGAAGCAGGAAUGGAGAGCUUGGAUGGUCCUAACUUUUAUGUUAGACGUAUCCGUUUUUGAGAAUCACUGCUACUAAGGUACAUGAAAGAGAUUGCAGAUUUGGUUUGAAUUAAUUCGAUUCCUACUUUUGAUUUGUAAUACUCCUAUUUGAGUGAUGGAACAAUGAAUUCAUUCAUAUCAUACGUAUGUCAUGCUUGGUUGCUGCUCUGUUUCUCUUUAUAUCUUGGCUUCUUUCUUUUCAAUUCUUAUUGUUCACUGCCCCUUUCUUUCUCCUAUUUCCACUUUUUCAUUGCCAGCAUAACUGAAAAACAAGUUGGAUGCUGCAAUUGUUGUUUCACUCUUCCAUUCAGGUCGGCAUGGAUCAGCUCAAACAAGAAACACAGUAUUUUUCAUUUUUCAUCACAUAUGUUAAUAUUCGUAUCAUUUUAUAGUGAAUGUGCUUCCUCAUUAAUGCUUAUUAAUUCCAUAUGCCAUUUUCAUCAUGUCAUGUAUCUCCUUCCUGAUUUGAUUUGUGAACUAAAUUUUAUAUUCAAGUAUCGAUUAAAUUAAUUUCUGUUAAUUUAUUGUCUGUUUUGUUUCUUUAAAAAAAAUGAGCACCCUUCUGUUGUGUCCUCUGAUAUUGAAGCUUUGUUGACAGAAGUUAUUGUUGAGGGAAGUGGAAAAUCAGGGUUACCAGCUGUGGAAGAUAAAAGAGAAGUCUUUGGUUUUAUGGAGAAAAUGGGGAAGAAGAGAGAGAGUAUCAGUCAAGAGAAUGGUGAAUGUGUUGACCAAUUUGAGUCAUUGAAUGGAGUGCUUGAGGAUAAAUCGUAGGAGUAUUUUUAAGAGUUGCUUUUGUUACUUAAAAGUUGUUAGUUUUACUUUACCUGAAGGGGACCACUUCCCAUUUCUUAUAUGCUGUAAGUUUGCAACAAUAGGGUUUAUGAAAGAAUUAUCCAAUUUCCUACCUACUUUCUCUCUCUACCUCCUCCUCAAUUUUCUAUACACAAUCUCUCUUACAUUUCCGAAAAUUUGCUGCAACAUUAUAUAAAAACUAUAAUUCAACUGGGAUCAUAACACCUUCUGAAAGUCUGAAAACGAGUCAGUUCUUGAUUCAACACAAUGCUCUUUUUCAUCAUUUUUUACUUGGUAAAAGAUGAAGGAUUGAAAUUCGUACAAUCUAUAAAUUUUUGCUACAAAUUUAUAUCUCUAUCAAUCGGCAUAAAUCUAACCCAAAUUAUUGGUGAAAAACUACUGACGGAAAGAGCAGAAAAAACAUUAUGAAAUAAUUAAAGUAUUGCUGGAUCGAAUGACAUAACUUAUUAAUUGUAUUGUAUUAAAAAUAAUACAAUUAGUUGGGCUUAGUUAUAUAGGGUUGAGCUGCCGAAUCGGCCCAAUUCAAAAAAANNNNNNNNNNNNNNNNNNNNNNNAAUCAUUAUUUAUGUAAUCUGGUGUAAAAGUUAAGUUUUGUUUUUUUUUUCAAUUAACAUCGUAUAUUCGUAUCAUUAUUUGAAUUAUUGGUUGGUUUCUUUGGCUUUUCACAUAAUACUAGAAUUUCUAAAUACAGAUCAAAACACAUCAACAAGAACAUAUUGGAAAUUUUAAGGUGCAGUUUUAACUGAUAAAUAGCAAACUUUCAGAUUGAAAAUUCAGUACAUUGAACUAUCCUUUAAUUUGUGGAAAUUCAACAUGUACUAAUCCUUAUAUAUGAACCCAUUGUUUAACAAAAACUAUAGAAAAAAAUGGAUACACAGUGAGCUCAAGAAAUGUACUUCACAAACUGCAAUUACCCGUUUCUCGUUAUCGUGUCAACAAGAUACAGACCGAAAGAGGCAAAGAAGAAUCCGAACUUCGUCAGUUCCCAAGCGUUGCUGCUCCCCUCUUUACAUUCCAAUCUUUGCGUGUAAAUAACUCGUACUAGGCCACAGGGCUCGACUGAGAACUAAUGGUUGUAGACGAAUGUCAUGAUGUGGAAAUCAGAACCAGUUAAGAGCCACCCAUUGUGAUGUCGUUGGCAGGUGGAGGAUUUGCUUUGGCGCUAAAUGGGCUGUCAUUUUGGGCGCCCGUCUGUGGCUGCCCGGCUCCAAAGGCGAACUCCUGAGGGAUUUCAAACGGGGGAUGGGAGAAAACUGACGAGACAGUGUUGUUUAUGAAGGCUGGAGCAGGAGUGGGCGUUUCGUUAGUCCUCGAGAAGCCAAAGCUUAAGGGAGGCUGGCUGGGAGACGAAAAACUUGGCAGGACGAUGUUGCUGUUCUCUGUUGAGCCGAAGAUCUUUUGCUCGAACUCCUGUAAUUGCUCGUAAGCCGCUGAAAGAAACAAGUACGGGAACAUGUCAGAUCUGAAAUUGUAUGAAGGUUCAAUAUGCUCAUAUAUAUUUGAUGACCUUCAUGCAAACAGAAACUGUUACUAAUCAAAUAAAUAUAAAGUUGUGUUGAUUAUAGUUUAUCGCGUGAAAUUAUUUUUUGUAUGUCCUAAACUUUGAGAAAUUAUUUAAUUAUAGCCACAAUCACGCCGAAAUUGGUGGCCAUAGUUGUUCUUUGCUGAAAUUAGACUUGAAACGAUGACCAGUUGGAGAGACAAUUAAUGCCUUCUAUUGUUAGAAACAUGACUCGUUUCAUUAUGAACUAGGAGUGUAAUCACUUUGCACGAGCCAUUUAUUAGCAUCGGUGCUAUAUAUACCCAACGAAGACAUGGCACGAAGUUAAUUCUAAAAGGUUUGAAUGCUUGGAAACAAAUGAAAACAUGAUGUAACUGAAGAGCUAGAAAUGUUAUACACAUUGGCAAAGAUCUAGCAGUUUCUAAUCUCGACGAUUUAUAUGAAUUAAUAUCUUUCAGCAUAUUUAUAUGAUAUAUAAUCGGAGCACAUUCAAGCACAACUAGCAAUGCAAACUUUGACCUGACCUGGAUUUAGUUCGACAGACGGUCUUCGUUCUUUCACCCAUUGAUAACUUUGGGCAAGUCUCCAACCUUUGCUUUUCAUCAAGUAAGCAAUUACUAUAGCAGGUGACCUAUCGAAACAUGAGAUGUAUCAUUGAGGAAAUCAACUAAAUCUUAUCGAUAUCAAGUACAAAAAUGAAUCAAAAGCACAGAAUCAAACACCCUAAAGAAAAGGGAAGCUGAGGAAUCACCUGUUUUUGCCUGACAUGCAGUGCACCAGAACCCGGGCCCUAUCUCUUUCGCAUUGCUCUGCACAAGCAUGUCGAGAUAAAUUUCAAUAAAAUAAAAAAUAGCAUCGAGUGUGUUACAAUGCUUUCAAGUUCAUUUACUCGUAAUUUCUUACAUAGAAACCACACCAGCGAAAGUCACUUGAACGAGUAACAUGUAUGUUAAUAUGCACUAGAAUGAAACAAAAUAUAUGUUCGGAAGACUGUAAGAACCGUGACAGAAGAUUCUGGAAGAUAAAAGUUAAUUGCCAAAUAAGAGAAACCAUCUAAGAGAUAUUCGUGUUAAGGAGUCACCUAGAAACUGGAUUGCAUCAUCAAACGGCAAUCUCUUUUCGUCUGGCAGGCAGUGAUAGGUAAAUGAAUUUUUGUACAGGUUCUGACAGGCAGGUACAGUCUGCAUAUAGACAGACAGAUCAGUUACAAGAUCGGAACUGUCCUUAUAAAGUCUAAUAUAAUAAGAUGCAGAAUGUGAUAUAAGUAAGAAACAAAGCUUGUCAAUAAGUUAUUCAAGCUACUAACCAAAGGACAAACAUAUGGUUUCACACCCCCUCCUCACAUAGACACACAAACACGCACGGAGAUGUGUAUAUAGAAUUAUAUUUAUAUGUGUAAUUCAAAGGUGUAAUUGCGCCUAAUACACGAACUUUUAAUUAUUAUGACAUUCAACACAGUUGCCAAUUUCCAGCAAAUUAAUGUCAGGUGAAGUGGCAAAUUAAUGUCAUCGUGACUAGAUGUGGCGUAGACAUCCAACUAUUUGACACGGCAUCACCUAUUCCUUAGGUUCAUCAAAAGGAAACUAAAAACAUAUAUAGUUCAACUAAAACUAAAAACAGAGAAAACCGUGCAAAAACUCAAAGAAUCGAUUGAUCCGAACACUUACAGCUCUAAAAGAUCAAACUUCAACCAACAAAUUAUUUUCUAUGCCAUCCCACAACCCUUACACCUACUUAACUCAAUCAAGUUGCAACUUUGUGCAAUUUAAUGGAACACAGUGACACAGAUAUCAUGACCAGAAAAUUAUCUAUAAACUCGUGCACGAAACGACUCGAUGAAUCGAUUGAUCCAAGCACUUACAAUUCUAAAAUAUCAAACUCUGAGCAACAAACACCAUGCCCUCUCCUAGUAAUUAACUACGCAACGCAAUCAUGUCAAUAAAAUUUUCAACUUUAUGCACACAAACAGUUCAAUAGAUCGAAUCACGAAAUUGCAGAUAUCUCAAUACCAAAAAAGAAAAAGGAAGGAGAUCACAGCAUACAUUGAGAACACGAGAGAUGCUCUGAGUCUUGAGCAGCUCAGCGCGGGCAGCAUUGUCGUAGCUGCCCAAGUAGAGGAACUCGGGCAGUAUCUCCGACGGGAAGGCGCUGACGUGGACUGCCGCCGCGGCGGGUUGGUCGGCGACGGCGGCCAUGCGGUGGCCGCAGACGCCGCACACCUCCCCUUCCUCGAACUUGUGGUAGUGCCCGCAAAUCCCGCACGGAUUCUCUCUCUCUCGCUUCCUCAUGAUUGAAUCGCGCAGUCGAUUUCAGGAAUUUUCCAAAUCAAUGCUUAUAUAUGUGUGUGCUGAAUCUUGAUGCGGCAAUUUGGGGAAAUUGUGAUUAGGAAUUUUUGGGGGGAGAUUUUGAAGUUGUUUAUUAGCUAAUGGAAAUCUUGUUAUGGUUGUUAAUUUGAGGUGGUUUGCACAUUGCCCCCUCAAGAAAUGGGAUCUUGCACUUUUUGCCCAGCUGAACACAGAAAUUGCAUAUUGUGCCUAAAAAAAUAAGGGUACUAAACCUAGCCACCUAGGGGUGGACCGGUACGGUAUGCCGAUUUUUUUUGUCAUGCUAUAUACCGUACCGUAAAUUACGAUAUGAAAUUUUUCAUACCGUUGUCGUACUAAACUCUUCGGUAUAUCGAAGAUCAGUGGCGGAGCUACAACUUAAGCAAGUGGGGCAAUUGCCCCCCUCAAUUUUUUUAAUAUAGCUAAUGUAUUCAUAUAUAUAUGUGUAUAAUUAUAUAUAUAAAAAAAAAAUCUUGCCCCACCAAAAUUUUGAAAAAAAAGGGGCAAAGUUUUUGCCCCCCUAAUCUUUAGGGGCCUGGCUCCGCCCCUGUCGAAGAUCGAUAUACCGAAAAAUCUGCUAUAAACUUUUUUCAUACCGAUAUCGUACCAAUAGUGCGGUAUAUCGUACCAAAAUUAUUGGUAUGUAGCCAUCAGAUCUUGGAGCAUGUCCUGAUGUUGACUCUACAACUGCAUCACAACACCUAUGAUGCAAAAACAGCAUGUUGGUGGUCAAAAUUCUCGUGUCUUGCACGAUAUCGGCGAGCAUGAUCAAACGCCUCUCAAAGCUCGUCGCAAAGGAACUUCAUUCCAUUGUAUUUGUGAUUUUUUUCAAAAGUGGUUUGUGCUUACGAUUUUAAUAUGUAUUAGUUCUUCAAGAAUUGUUAUCUACACUUAACCUUUAUUGCAAUACAAAAUUGUGAUUAAUAAAUUUGAUCGAGUAUUAAUAAAUCUUAAUUACAUAUGGGUUGUUGAGUAUACAAUAAAGACUACAGUCCCAUUAAUUCAAUGUUUUUCGUUUAAGUUUCUUGAGACAGUUACUAUUAUGUGGGUAAAUUCUCAAAUUACAUAAAAAUAAUUUAUAAAGAUUACUCCCAAAUAACAAUACUUCAAAUUUGGACGAAUUCUUGAGAUCUUGAAAAUGGGAUAUUGCAGUUUCUUAUACACACAAGUCCAAAAGUAAAAACUUCAAAACCCAAGUGGAAAUAAAUGGUGAAUCUCAUUUAUAGAUUACAUUUUUGUUUGUGCUUGAGAAUUCAAAUGUACAGACUUAAAUAGUUUUAGAUAAAAUAUGUAUAUUGAAUAUUUUUUAUUAACUAUAAAAUAUUUUUUUUAGAAAAAAAGAAAGAUAAAAAAUGAGAAUACAAAUAAAAAGUAAAAAAGAAAUAAAGAAAUUAUGAUAAUUAUAGAAAAAGUUUCUAUGUUUAGUUUGAGAUUUCCAUACUGAAGAAAGAGAAUAAUACACAGAACCUCAAGUAUUGGACAUUAGCCACCUACCACUAGGCCAACACACACUCGUGUGGUCCCUACUUUAAUUUAAUCUAACAUGAGUUCAUUAAUUUAUCCACUUUAACACUAUUCUUAAUGUGAUUUUUUUUUUUAAGUUUCACACUACACUCGAUUAUAAUUAUUAAUUUAUGUCAUUUCUUUUAAUGACUACCUUUACGCAAGAAAGUGAAUACUAAUACCACAAUAACAACAUAUAUAAAUGUAUAUAUUUGCACAAAUAUCAUGCAAGUCUAUCUAUAAAUUUGUAAAGUGGGACUAUUAGAGAUGUAGACUAUAGUACUAGCAAGUCCCAGAUAUUUUCGAUUUCAAAAUCUAAAUGACAUUCUUUCUAUUUUAAGUAAUUUGAAAAUUUAUGUGAUACUAUUUUAAAAUUAAGCAAUGAGUUGAAUCUAUUCAAUGGAACAUCAUGUCAUAAAAUUAAGUCUUAUCCUAAUCCACCAAACCAAACAUAUUAAUUAUAAAUGAGUAAAUAAAGAUAAUCCCAUUUUCAAUUUUCCCUCGUCUCUAAACUAACCAAACAUAUUAAUUAUAAAUGAGUAAAUAAAGAUAAUCCCAUUUUCAAUUUUCCCUCGUCUCUAAAUUAUAGUUUUACUUCGCUGUUAAGGAUGCAUUAAAUUAUAAUAAUUCUAAAUAAAUAAACAAGACUAUUACAUGAUUCUUUCGUGUAAAACAUUUACCAACUGCAUUAAAUCGAAACGAGUAAUUUUAUUCAUUUAUUUUUUAGGCAAAAAGAGUAUUUUAUUGGGCAAUAGAAGAAAAGGCACAAAACAAUAAUAAUGUAUAAUUCGAUUGCUUAAAUUCACGAAAAAGAAAAAGGAAAAAGAAAAGUUAAAUACCGCCCAUUCUACAGUCAGAAAAAAAGAAAAUUAACAAAAAUACCCAAAUUCUAAAUCAGCCCAAUUUUUUCUCCAAACUACCGUUCUCCGCCGUAAUCUUGGCGCUACCGCCGGUUAAGCUCCAGCACCGCCGUGGCUGGCUCGUUUGGCAUUCUAUAACUUAUUUGCGUAUUUAUCUGUUCGUUUCAGCUCCCGUACGUGACGCUUUCAAUUUCGUUACGCUUUUUUGAUUGCCCUGUUAGUGUGUCAGCUUCUCGUUCUGUUGUUUGAUUUGAUUGCUCGCUGCAAUCAGUCUUAGCCCCAAUUGAAAAUCCAGCGUUGGUUUGAUCAGAGUUGAUGCCCUAAUUUGAUUUCCCCCAAUUUGUUGAAGCCCUAGGAAUUUCGAAUGUUAUUGAUUUUCAACCAAUUUUGACUUUAUCACUUGUGUGCAGCUGAUGCCAUCCUAUAUCUUCGCGACAAUUGCAAUCUGUGUGUGUUUUAUGCAUGGGAUCAUUUCUGAGAAAUUUAAUGCUGUAAAGUUGCUUUAGCUUUUGUUUGGUGUGGGAACUGGAAUUCUGGAAAAAAGAGCUCGACAUUUUGUGAUGCUGCUUAGGUUAACUCUGAAAUCAAGCCCACUCUGAAAUCAAGCCCAAUGCUGUUGGUUUCAUCCUGUUCAAUAUAUGUGUGUUUUUGCACUCUGUGUGUUUUUGUGCUUGUAAUCAUUCUUCUGAUAUGAAAUUGGUUAUGGUGUAUUUGAUGUGGGUUAUUGAUGGGCUUAGUUUUUGUCAUUUUUGGAGUGCCCUUUACCUCUAUGGAGUCUGGCCCUUGUUAUGUUUGGGAUUAGCCCGAAAUUGACCUCCUUAGAGAUAAUGACAUCUCAUUUUCACAAUGAAGUGAUCUUUCAGUUCUGUUGACUGUUUUGCUGUGUAGUUCUUCUAGACAAGUGCUUAACAUAUGAUUAUGAAUGAGACUUCUUAGUAAACAUUUUGCAACUAUCAGCUUACCUGUGCUUAUGAAUGUUUAUGAGAUGAUCUAUGUUUGAUUAUUAUUGUCUGCAAGUUUACAAACUGACAUUUUAAGUAUUUUCAGAAUCUUUAUCCACUUGCAUCUCUUAUUUGUCUUCUUUCUAACACUAUCAGAAUUUACUUGACAGGUUUUCGUGUCUCGUUUGGACUUUUGCGGUUUCAUUGCUUUGAACUUGAUUAGAUCAACUUUGUUUGACGCCUUUGUUAUGGUCUUUGGCUCUAGUUGGUGGUCUAACUUCAUGUUACACAGAACAUAUUUAUUGGUCUAAGAUAAAGAUGAAUCUACAGACACAUCAUACGGGGCAAAUCUCAGGCCAGGUACCCAACCAAGCUGGUACUAUGUUGCCUGGGCUACCACAGCAGAAUGGGAACCCUAUGGCCAGCCAAAUGCAGAAUCCUAAUAUUCAUCGAAAUGUACCCAAUAUGGACCCAGAAACUACUAAAAGACGCAAAUACAUGCAAGAGAAAAUGUAAGGAUUUUUCAUAUUGUCCAUUCAAGUAAAUAGCAAAUUUCCAUAGGUAUAAAUGUUCAUGGUAAUUUAUGAUAUGUUUACUUGUAUUUGGUUUCUUGAAAAUACACGCAACUGAAUGUUUGGAUGACCAUUAACAAAAAGUUAAUUUUUUGUAGGUUUUGCUUAGUUGUCGGACAUUUGAUUCUUGCAAAGACUACUAAAAAAUGUUCCAUUUCUUAAUUUAGUGAUUAGAUUUAAUGACAUUUGAUGCCUGUAGGGAUAUUUGGAUCUGGUCAAAGUUAUCAUUCUUUAAAGUUAUUCAGGAAGCUUCGCUAGGCAGGCAGAUAUUUGUUGCUUUAUCCGCCUUUAUAAUUUCCCUCCCAUUUUAUUUUGCUGCUUAUUUUCCUCAUUUAAUAUUAAUAUGAUACCUGUCAAUUGGGUUGGUAUAUAGUGUCAUCACAUCUGUCAUCUCUAAAACUUGUGGCUUCACAUCAAAGAAAUGGCACCCUUUCCUUUAUCUACUAUUCUGGUUGGAUUAUUUCUACUUGUGCUAUUUCUAUUCUGCUAAAGGUUUAGUUUCUCUGUUCUGCAGCUGGAACUUUCUUAUGCAGCGGCGCCAACAAUCUCCUGAGGUUCCCAACAGGAAAAUGGUUGAUAUAGUGAAACGUCUAGAAGAUGGUUUAUUCAGGAGUGCUACAACAAUGGUGUGUUAUUUUUUAUUCCGUUUCAUCAUGUCCUUGCAUAGAAAAAUUUCUGGUUGACAUUAAAGUUUUGAAUAAGUUUCAAGAAUCUACAAAUAUUACUCCUUCCCUCCGUCCACGAAAAUAGGUCAUAAUUUGCCAUUUUCGUCCGUCCAUGAAAACAUGUCCUAACCCUUUUCUGUUAUUCAUGGACCCACCACUUUUUAAUUUGUGGGGCCCUUUCUCUCACUAGCUAUCUCUAAUUUUUUUAAUUUGUGAGGCCCUUUUUCCACUCACUAAAUAAACAACUAACUUUUUUUUAAAACCCUUAGGACCUAUUUUCUUGGACGGAGGGAGUAACAUAUUUGUGUGUGUGCUGGAAAUUGUUAGCAUAGUUACUUAUAUUAUCGAGUUACUCUUCAUCAAGUCCUUUUGUAUUUCUAGUCCUUAUUGUGUCAUCUAUUGUCAGGAGGAGUACCUAAACCUGGAAACUUUGGAGAGGCGUUUGCACAUUCUGAUUAAGCGCUUUCCUACAACUACAAGUAAUCACAACCAGCAGAUGUCACAUAGUAAUGCUUCCCCUCCCAUCGGUACAAUGAUACCCACACCUGGGUUUCAACAAACUGGGAACUCAAGCUUCGGUGGAACUUCAUCAGUGGAUAAUUCUUUUGUCAACAAUGUCAACAAUGUGAACAAUAGUAGUUCCAACACAAUUGCAUCAUCGACCGUCAAUUCAGGAAGCUUCUUUCCAACUCGAAAUGGGUCUUCUGGAAGUGUGCAUGGUAGUUCUUUUAGUUCAUCUGAUGUUUUUUUAGUCUUUUCAUACAUGGAGUACUAUCUGGUCGACUUUUCACUCAUCAAAAGAAAUAAUUUUCUGCAGGAGCUUUGGCUGGUGGGUAUCAGCAGUCACCUAAUGCUUUCAUGGUCAAUCCUGGGGGAAAUAACAUGAUGACGUCUAUGGGUGCUCAAAGAAUGACUAGUCAAAUGAUCCCAACUCCUGGAAUCAGUAACUCCAAUACUAAUGAUAUGAUUAGUAACACUAGUAACAAUAAGUCCGCAAAAAUUGAGCCAUCAGAUCUUGGAGCAUGUCCUGAUGUUGACUCUACAACUGCAUCACAACCUAUGAUGCAAAAACAGCAUGUUGGUGGUCAAAAUUCUCGUGUCUUACACAAUAUUGGCGGGCAAAUGGGUAGUGGAGGCAGUUCUGCGUUGCAGCAGAAAUCCUUUGGAGUGUCUCAUGGGCCCCUAAGUGGAGGGUUUGGAAUAAUGGGAAAGAAUAUGCCUGUCAUGAAUAGUCCAGGAACCUCCGAGGGGCAUAUAUCUGGAACUAUAUAUGGCAAUUCCACAAAGCCCUUGUCUCAGCAUCUUGACCAGCAUCACCAAAGACCAGUAACACAAGGUACUUUAUUCUCUCUUCACCAUUACAGCCAUGCUUCUGUGUCUGCGUCCAUUUUCUCAAAUCCUUAAUGUAUUGACAGUUACAUUGUGGAUACCCUUGGAGCUUCUAGUUUGUUUUCUUUUUGACACUAUUCUGUUUGACAGGUGAUGGCUAUGGAGUUGGUGCUACUGAUGCUUCUGGGUCUGGAAAUUUGUAUAUUCCUGUAACAACUGUUGGAUCAACGAUUAGCAACCCAAGUUUGAAUGCCAUAUCCAUGCAAUCAAUGCACAAGACAGAUGCUCCUUUGAUGACCAGUAAUCAGUCAAAUGUAUGUUCUUCUCAACAGGCAGCUGUGGAUCCUCACUCACAGUACUCGGUGAAAGAAAAUCUUGUGCAACCUCUCCAACAUCAGCUGUUUCAACAGCCAUCCCAGCAGUUUCAGCAGCGACAACUUUCUCAGCAUCAAUUGCAACAAAAAAGGCAAAUGCAAAACCAGUAUUUGUUGAGAAAUGAUUCUUUCAGUCAAUCCCAUCUAUCACCCAGUAUGGUUUCUGAGAUAAAGCCGGAGAUUGGAAUGGAGCAUCAUAAUGAAGGUCUACAGUCAAAAGUCACCCACUCCUUCCAUUCUGAUAUGCAGAAUCAAUUCCAGCGAACUCUAUUGAGGGCCAUUCAAGAGCUCCUCAGCCUUUUUCUCAGUCAUCUUUACCACAUGAUGCCCCAUCUUUGCAUCCACAACAAUUUGUUUGCAACACUCAAAGCGAUUUUACUGGUCUUUCUGGUGGUGUUCAACCAGAUGCAGCAUUGGGAGGUCAGCGGUAUUCCAAGCCUCAAGAUGUGGAUGUAUCAGGAAGACUCCCACUUGAUCAGACUAUUCAAGAUGAUAUUCAUCACAGAUUAACCAGGCAAGAUGGAGCUCAACUAAAUAAUUUAUCCUCAGAAGAAUCCGUGAUUGGUCACUCUGAAACUUCUAGAUCAACAGAACCAGUUAACACGAAUGACCCAUCAUCUCGAACUUAUAGCAUUACUCGUGAAAAACAGUUCAAGAACCAACAGAGAUGGUUGUUGUUUUUGAGGCAUGCUCGUCGAUGUCAUUUCCCAGAAGGAAAAUGCCCUGAGCCUCACUGCUUAACUGUUCAGAAGCUGUUGAAGCAUAGUGGAAGUUGCAAUGUUUUCCAGUGUGCAUACCCUCGUUGCCGUGCUACAAAGGUCUUAGUCAAUCAUCAUCGGCGCUGUCAGGAUACAAAUUGCCCUGUUUGUAUUCCUGUUAAGAGUUUUAUGCAGGCUCAGUUCAAGACACUUACUCGUUCUAAUUUGAGUUCUGGGUUGCCUACAUUACUUAACGAAUCUUAUAAUGCCCAUGAUAUUGCUGGAACUGUGGGAAGAUCUACUCCAAAGAUGGACCCAGUUAUAGCUGAAACUCCUGAAGAUCUCAACCUCCUAUUAAACGCACAAAAGUUGAGCAAGGCCUGCAGUCUCUUGUCCCCGGAAGUGCCUCUGUGGCAUUGGCUUCUACUAUAAGUGAUAAUCAUAUCCAUGAUGUACAGCAUAGUGAAAAGGAUCGCGAUUAUCAUAUUCCAGUAAAAUCUGAAAUUAGUGACGUGAAAGUAGAGGUGAAAGUCCCUGGAAAUGUUGCACAGGGAAGUCCCAAAAUUAUCGAGAUGAAAAAGGACAACUUGGAUGAUGCUUACAUCCAAACUCCAAAAGGGGAUGAUGUCACACCUAGUGAUUCUGUUGGAUACGGUGCUCAGCAGGUCAUGAAGACAGAAAGUGAUAUGGCACAGGCUAAGCAGGAAAACACUUCUUACCUCCCGAGAAUGCAUCCAAGUCUGGGAAGCCAAAAAUAAAGGGAGUAUCGAUGAUUGAAUUGUUCACCCCUGAAAUGGUCCGCCAACAUAUUAUGGGUCUCCGACAGUGGGUGGGACAGGUCAGUCUUGUUUAUUUUCUCAACCUCAUUAGGCCAAUAGUUACAUUAAUCUUGAUUAAUUACAGCCAAGAUGUGCUGCAUGUAUACUUUUUGAAGGCUCCUUAAUGUUACUUUUAGCAAUUGAAAGCAUCUUAUGAAAUUUUAUCACAGUUUGUAGUCUUUGAAUUUGCAUGCAAUUAUCUAAUUAGACAUCUAGGAACUCGUUUGUGUUCUUUUGCUUUAGUUUGUUGUAUUUGUUAUGGACUAAGAUUACUCCCUCAACCACCCGACUUUCUUGCUCGGAGACACUUCAAAUUUUUCUUCCCCUUGGCCAGCUUGUAAAGACACCUUAAACAGGUUGUAUAGACACUUCAAUAUUUAAUUGAUUUCUCGUGAGUCCAUCCUUUUUUUCUUAUUUUUCUGCUUAGAUCUUUCUUUGUCCAAUAUUUGAAUUUGGAAGAGGGAUGAGAUAAAGUUGUCAUUUGUUGGAUUAGAUGUUACCCAUUCAUGCCUUCACCUUCCUCCUAAAGAAGCAUCAUACAUCAUAUAUGUCUUCAGAUGUGUCAUUCACAUUCCUCUAUGAAAUUUGUAAUUACUCUUUUGAUCCACAGAGCAAAGCAAAGGCAGAAAGAAAUAUGGCAAUGGAGCAUUCGAUGAGUGAAAAUUCUUGCCAGCUGUGUGCUGUUGAGAAGCUUACGUUUGAACCUCCUCCUAUAUAUUGUACUCCCUGUGGUGCUCGCAUUAAAAGAAAUGCAAUGUAUUACACCUUUGGGUCUGGGGACACCCGUCAUUGCUUCUGUAUUCCAUGCUAUAACAAUUCUCAUGGAGACACCAUUGCAGUAGAUGGCACUACUAUUCCAAAGGGAAGGGUGGAGAAAAAGAAAAAUGAUGAGGAAACUGAAGAAUGGGUAAUGCUUUAUCUGCUUGCAGAGCUACUCUAUUUUGAUAUGUAAUCUUGGAUUACACUAAGUAUUUGUUUCUUGCAGUGGGUGCAAUGUGAUAAGUGUGAAGCUUGGCAGCAUCAAAUCUGUGCAUUGUUUAAUGGUAGAAGAAAUAAUGGUGGAGAAGCCGAGUAUACUUGUCCUAAUUGUUAUAUGGCAGAAGUUGAAAUGGGAGAACGUGCACCAUUACCACAGAGUGCUGUUCUCGGUGCAAAAGAUUUGCCCAGAUCACAUCUAAGUGAUCACUUGGAGCAGCGUUUAAUUGUAAAACUGAAGCAAGAGAGGCUUGAAAGAGCAAGGCAUCAAGGCAAAAGUUAUGAUGAGGUGAUUAACUUUUACUUUUAUGUAUUUUAUAUUCUUCACUUACACACACACACACAUGUAUAUAUAUAUUAUCAGUAUUGUGGUUUGUGCAUUUAUUAGUGAGUUUUUUGUUGAAUGUUUACUGUCUAGGUCAUAAAUAUUUCGCUGAUUUUUCCAGGUCCCGGGAGCAGAAGAACUUGUUGUAAGAGUGGUAUCAUCAGUGGACAAAAAGUUGGAUGUUAAACCUCGCUUCCUGGAGAUUUUCCAAGAGGAAAACUAUCCAACAGAGUACCCUUAUAAAUCUAAGGUGUGGCUUUUACCACUUGAUAUUGCUGCUUUAAAUUUCUUCUAUAUGAACUCUCAAAAGAUUUUAGAAAAAAUAGUCAGUAUGAGUGUACUCUAUCCUCUGCUUCUAGAAGGCAAAUGGUGUUGCAUUAAAUGAUAAAAAUAGACAUGAAGACAUUGUAUAUAUAUACAUACCUUGUAAUCAGUUUUGAAAUGUUCUAUGUAUUGUAUUGCCAUUUUGUGAAAGACUUGAACUCAGUGGUAAAUUCUGGUUGUUGUUUGUCUAUCUUUAGCUUUUCCUUUUCUUUUUGGGUGGGGUGAGCAGAUUGAGUUAUGAAAAAUUUGAAACAUAUAACUGGAGAUUUGUUUCUUGAUAUGCUUCCUUAUUUUCGGUGCCUUUUUUGCUUGCAAAUACUGGAAGCCUAGUUUUUUGAUACUGUAUAUAACUGUAUUUGCUAUGUUACAGGUGGUACUGUUAUUUCAGAGAAUUGAGGGUGUCGAAGUAUGCUUGUUUGGCAUGUAUGUUCAAGAAUUUGGAUCUGAAUGCCAGCAGCCAAAUCAUCGAAGAGUCUACCUCUCUUACCUGGACUCUGUUAAGUAUUUUAGGCCAGAGGUCAAAGCUGUCUCAGGCGAGGCUCUAAGGACAUUUGUGUACCAUGAAAUUUUGGCAAGUUAUCACACUCUUCUAUUUUCCUUAUAGUUUGAUGCAUUUACAAAAGAAAAAAUGUUACCAUUUCUUUUUAAGUAUUUUGAAUAUAUUUUAUAUUUCUAAUUCAGAUUGGAUAUCUGGAGUACUGCAAAAUGCGUGGUUUUACAAGCUGCUACAUCUGGGCAUGCCCUCCGCUGAAGGGUGAAGAUUAUAUUUUGUAUUGUCACCCAGAAAUUCAAAAGACACCCAAAUCUGACAAACUUCGAGAGUGGUAAGUACUAUUGCUGUCUGAAUGUGAGCGCUAAUGCAUUACAUUGUUUCACCUUAAUUGUUCUCUCUUUCAGGUACUUGGCCAUGCUACGGAAAGCCACAAAGGAAAAUAUUGUCGUAGAGCUUACUAAUCUUUAUGAACAUUUCUUUGUUUCAACUGGUGAAUGUAAAGCGAAGGUAACUGCAUCUCGGUUGCCAUACUUUGACGGAGAUUAUUGGCCUGGUGCUGCGGAGGACAUCAUCUAUCAACUGCAACAAGAAGAAGAAGGGAGAAAACAAUCGAAGAAGGGAACUUUGAAAAAGAACAUUACGAAAAGAGCUUUGAAGGCAUCUGGCCAAACUGACCUUUCUAGUAACGCAUCAAAGGAUCUGAUGUUAAUGCAUAGGGUAAGAUCUUUGUCGUAAUUUUGUCUUGAUUGUUUUUCUUUGGAAAUUGUGCUAACUUGUGGGUAAGUGCCACUUUGAGUAUUUGGUCUGAUCUUUUUGUCACACUCCUGUUCUUUUUCGUACUUACAAGUCUAAGCAAUUACUGCUCCUACUUUCUUUUAGUGAUACUAAAAGAAAUUCUUUGUUUCCCUAGCUUGGUGACACCAUAACUUCGAUGAAGGAAGAUUUUAUCAUGGUUCACUUACAACAUUCAUGCUCUCAUUGCUGCAUCCUAAUGGUUUCUGGAAAACGGUGGGUCUGCAAGCAGUGCAAAAAAUUUCAGCUUUGUGACAAGUAAGAUUCUAUUCAUUUCUGCUCAGUUAUAGUAAAACUUCUGAUCUCAUUUCCAAGCUAUGUUGUAUUUCCAAAUAAUGUUUUAUCUCUGGUAUUUACCUUUCUUAUUCUAGAGAUAGGCAUACCUAAUUAGAUACUUGUGUUUGCUAGAUAAUCCAUUGUUGACAUACCAAUCUUUAUUGGCAAAUUUGACGGGUUUAUUCAAAUUUUGUCGUUGUCGGUUGCAUCCUGGAAUAUCAGUGGACUAAUCCCCUCCUUUCUACUUUUUCAGAUGCUAUGAUGCCGAGCGAAAACGCGAUGAUAGGGAGAGACAUCCUAUAAACUACAAGGAUGUCCAUGCACUUUAUCCUGUAAGUCUAUAGGAUCAUAAUUAUGGCUGACAUUGAUCUUAUGCUUAUGAAAUUUCCCCCGAUACAAUUAACGAGUCUACCAUUUGGACUAAGAAAUAUACGAAUCCACAGGUUGACGUUGCUGAAGUCCCCGAUGAUACCAAAGAUAAUGAGAAUCUUGAAAGUGAAUUUUUUGACACAAGACAGGCAUUUCUCAGUCUUUGUCAAGGAAACCAUUAUCAGUAUGAUACUCUUCGCCGAGCUAAGCAUUCUUCUAUGAUGGUCCUAUACCAUCUGCACAAUCCGACUGCCCCUGCCUUUGUCACAACAUGCAUGAAAUGUCACCUUGAUAUAGAGAGUGGACAAGGUUGGCGCUGUGAGACCUGCCCCGAUUAUGAUAUAUGCAAUGCUUGCUAUCAGAAGGAUGGAGGAAAAGAUCAUCCUCAUAAGUUAACUAAUAAUCAGUCCAUUGAUCCCAAUGCACAGAACAAAGAAGCCAGGCAAUUACGAGUCACACAGGUAAAUUUUACUUUGUGAUUAUUUGCCCUUGGGAGCGAUGAUUCUAGUUCCCGACUCGUGACAUGAAUUUCUUGGACUUGUUUUGCAGUUGAGGAAAAUGCUCGAUCUCCUGGUGCACGCUUCUCAGUGCCGGUCACCCCUUUGCCAGUAUCCAAACUGUCGCAAGGUCAAGGGACUUUUCCGCCACGGCAUCCUGUGCAAAAGGCGCGCAUCUGGAGGCUGUCCUUUGUGUAAGAAAAUGUGGCACCUUCUUCAGCUUCACGCUCGAGCAUGCAAAGAAUCCGACUGCAACGUACCACGCUGCAGGUUUGUUCACAAAACUCCUUAUCUCGACAUUGAACUCCCACCCUCUUAUAAUCUCAAACAUGCUUAUAUGAAUCCUCUCUUGCUUAUGCAGGGACUUGAAGGAACACCUGAGAAGGCUGCAGCAGCAGUCAGAUUCACGACGAAGGGCCGCGGUGAUGGAAAUGAUGAGGCAACGUGCAGCAGAGGUCGCCGGCAGUUCUUGAUCACCCCAAGUUGUAUAUAGAGCCAGAAAAUUCUAUAGUUACUGGGGAAAACUACAUUUCCUUUUGUCUCCUUCGAUGGAACUUGAAGUAGGAUUGAAAUCUGUCACUACGACUGAGCUAACUCCGCCGCAAAAGAAACCACCGGAGUUCAGCGUCACCAUCAACGUAUUUUGCGUUCAUACGUCGUCGUAUGAGCUAGCUUCCUAGGAUGUUUAUAGAUCAGCCAACUGCUUCUGCUUCUGCUUCAACUAGCUACUUAAUUUAGAUGAAAAAAAAGGGUACAGAAAUCAGUCCUGAUUCUUUGUAUUUGUUUACUUAGUAUUUCUCCCCUGCCAUCAUAUUUGAUGGCUGAGUGUAUCAUAUCUUUUACUUGCAUAGUUUUAAUGGAGAAGCACAAUUUUCCAUAUGCAUUCAUCUCUACUACAAAAAGCUUGCUCUACAUUUAAACAUAGCAAAAAACACAGUUUUAAACAGAGAAAUCUAUGGCCAGUUUAGGAAUUUGUAACCUUGAAGGGACGGCGGCAGGUACGACUGCAAUGCUGCUGCGUCGGGAUCGUCGGGCGGGUAAAUAUACCCCUCGCCGUAGCCGAGAUCCUUCAUCAGCUUCGUCGGCGCGUUCCUCAGGUGCAUCGGCACCCUCUCGUUCUGCCCUACAUUCUCCCUCACUGCCUUCUGUGCGGCGCCGAAGGCGCGAUAGACAGCGACGGACUUCGGCGCGAGGGCGAGGUAGGCGACGCAAUGCGCCAGCACGACGCCGCACUCGGGCAUCCCGAUGAAGUGGCACGCCUGGUAGCAGGCGACGGCCUGCGGCAGCGCGUGCGGGUCGGCCAGGCCGACGUCCUCGGAGGCGAACCGUAUGAGGCGGCGCGCGACGUAGAGCGGCGCCUCGCCCCCCUCGAGCAUCCGCGCGAGCCAGUAGAUGGCGGCGUCAGCGUCGCUGCCGCGCAUCGACUUGUGCAGCGCGCUGAUGAUGUUGUAGUGCUCCUCCCCGGCCCGGUCGUAGGCGAGGUGCUUGCAUUGGAGGGCUUCUUUGACGUCGUUUACGGCGACGUGGAGGCGGGUCUCGGCGGCGGUCCGUGCGGCGGCAGUGGUGGCGGCGGCCUCGAGCGCGUUGAGGGCGACGCGGGCGUCGCCGUCGCAGUGUUGUGAGAGGAAUUUGACGGCGGAGUCGCUCACUUCGACGCUAGUUAUAUUAGUUCCCUUUAGGCCGGCGAGGAUUCCUCUCUCUAAAUCGUUUGACGCUUGUUUGAUGAGGGUGGAGAGAUGGGGGGGGCUGGAGGGGGCUGAGGGUUAGGACGCGGCACCGCGACAGCAGCGGCGUGAUGAGGUGGAAGGAGGGGUUCUCGGUGGUGGCGCCGACGAAGACGAUGCUGCCGUCUUCGAUCACGGGGAGGAAGGAGUCCUGCUGCGCCUUGUUGAAGCGGUGGACUUCGUCGAGGAACAACACGGUGCGUUUGCCGCCCGUGGCGGUGGAAGAAAUCUUCGACCGCCGCGCGGCCUCGACGGCCUCCCGCACCUCCUUCACGCCGCAGGCGACGGCGGAGAGGGAGACGAAGCGGUAGGAGGCGGAGGCGGGGCAGGAGCCGACGAGGGCCCGGGCGAUGGAGGUCUUGCCGGUGCCGGGCGGGCCCCACAGAAUGACGGAGGGGAGGCGGCCGGCGGCGGCGGCGGACCGGAGGAGAGAGUCUCCGGCGAGGAGGUGGUCCUGGCCCACCACCUCGUCGAGCACACGCGGCCGCAUCCGCUCGGACAGCGGCGCGCGCGGCGCCGCGGCGGCGGCGGUUUCUUGAAUUUCCGGCGAUCUGGGGCGCUUUCUCCGAUGAAUCAAAUUUGGCGGCGGUUCGAUCUCCUCGAUCUCUUCGGAUUGUUGGAGGGUUUUUGGGUGGUUUUUGGGAUCUUUUUUGGAGGGGUUGAGGUUGAAGAAUCGGUUGAUUUUGGGCUGGACAUUGGGAGGCGUGGAAUCAAGCGGCGGCGGUGGAGUUUGAGGAGGGUGGCGGCGGUCGUGGUUGAGGAGGAGCCAGUCGGUGGCUUUGUGGAUAUCGCCGCCGCACGCGGCCAGGGCUUGGGCGGCGGAGUCGGCGGCGAAGCCCAUGCCUAUGAGCUGCUGAAGUGCUGCCUCCGCUUCCAUUCUUUUAUUUUUUUUUUGGUAUAAAAAGCUCAAAAUUGCUUUCACUCUCUUAAAAAGGAGGCGAGGCGAUACUCUUUUUUUCCCGCACUUUCCGGUCACUUUGAUGCUACUAUUAUUUAAUGAAACAAAUUUUUCUACAUAAUUUUACUUAUACAAAUAUACCAUACGUAUUUAUAAAUUAAUAUUUAUAUAAGCUGAAAAAGAUAAAUAUUUCCUCCGCUUCGUAAUUAUAAGUUUUUUUUUUUUUUUUCGAAUGUUUCAUUUAUAUAGCCCUAUUUUCAUAAAAAUUAUUUUUUACUUAUUUAUCAUUAUAUUUAUAUUUAAUUCUUUAACUUAUCAUUAAAUAAUAAAUGUGGGUAUAUUAGGAAGUUUACUUAUAUAUAUUUACAAUUACUUUUUCUUGAUACUUAUAUAAAUUUCAAUAAGCCUAUAUGCCUAUUGCCUACUAUAUGUAGGAGAGGGAGAGAAUAUUAUAAUUAACAAAAUCACUCCAUAAGAUUUAGUCAUAUUCGCAAUUCUUUACAAAAGUACAACUUCAAAGGAAUAAAUUUUAUAUUGGCCCGUGAAUUAAUCGGAUUUUGAUUUUGGAUUGUUUUACCGACUAAUGAUGUCCUUUCUGGUGGAAAAAAAAUUUAAAGAAUAUUUAGUUACAAAUUUUAAUGGUAAUUAUAUUAAACACGCUAACUUUCACUCAAUUUUAUUUUUGCAUAUAAAUUAAAAAAUUUAAAUCUAAAUAUGCGAACUCUUAAAUGUUCACAUCUUUAUAUAUAUGUCAAUUUUCGACAAAUUAAUCUUAUUAUUACAAGAUGAUUUGAUAAUGCGAAGCGAAGCUUGAGUUAUGUAGAUAUUUUAGGCGUCAGCCUCACCAUCAAUUUGGAGGGCAAUUGGCAAUUACAAAAAAAUAAAGUUAAAAUUUAUGUAUUUAAUGAUAAAAUUUUAGUUAAUGUGCCAAUUCAAAAUUAAGUAGAAGGUCAUGAAUUUAAGCAUUAGUUAUUUUCAAGUUUAUUUUUCAAUUUAAUAUGUAAAGUUAUCAAAUUUUGCCUGCUUCAAAAUUAAAUCUUAGGUCUAUGGGCUGCUCAAAAUAGCCCUCAUUUUUAUGGGCUUUAAAAGCUAAUGUUUUGUGGCCCAAGAAAAAUCACUUGACAGUUUCGAUGAUUUUGGAGUACAUUGAAGAAUUAAAGAUUGCAAAGAAUUACUAACUUGAAGCAAUAUUCAAUGAUUCUGUUUAAUAACAUAAAAGGAUAUUCAUAUGAAAAAAAAGAAAAAGAAAAAAAAGCAUUAUAUUUUUCUGGCUUCGCACAUAAACUAUAGAUUUUAUCUAUAAAUAUAUGAAUUUUAUUUAUUUAUUUCUAAUGUCAGAAACGGUAGUUGGGGCUGAUGGGUGGCUGUUUGGUUCUAACCGCCCGUUUUGUUUUUUUUUUUUGUUUUUUUUUUUUUUUUUCCGUGGGGGUGAGAGCCGGGAUAGUUUGGGGACGAUGGUUAGGCCGGAGUUCCGGAAACUUUCCCUUCCGCUCUUCCCUACUUUCGUUUUGUGUUUAGACGAGUACUCUUUUUCCUUUUCACGGUUUCCCCCACUGGGUUUUCAGUGAAAAGGUUUUAAUGAGGUUCGGCCCUUAGUCUGCUCCUUCUGUGCUUUCAAGGGUUUUUUUUUGGUUUUUUCUUUUCUUUUUUUAUAAAAUCGUCAUUUAAUAAUUUAUUUAUUUCUAAUUUUGCACACGACAAAAUAUAUUUGAUGAAUGAACAUCGAGGAGGAAAGUCGAAACUGUCUACGUGGCUUAAAUGAAAGUUUUCCUAAAUGGCGUAAUUGGAUUAGUAAUGAAACAUUGUCUUUUCAUCAUAAAAUAAGAUUUUAGUACCAAAUUUGUAUAUUACUGUCAUUUAAGACAUUAUUUUUUGCAAUUUAGGACUCGGAAAGUUGUGAGUUUGCAAUUCAAGGCUAUCUAGUUCGCGAUUAAGGAUUUUGAGUUCACCAUCCCUAUGGAUUUAGGGAUUUGAGAUUUAGAUUUGCACGAUUAGGACUUCGAGUUAUGGGUUUUCGAUUGAAUUGUGAGCAUUGAAAAUGCUUUUGAUAUGCCAAAUUAAAGAGGAAAAUAAAAAAUAAAAAUAUUGUGUAUUUAGACGUUAUUAUCUCGGCAUCAAACCGAAUGCAUUGCAAUUGACAAUUGUUCUUAUUUGUACUAAUCUAAUGGUUUGAUUUAGGGAAAAUUGCACCUAAAUACACAAACUUUACCAAAAAUUCAUAUUUGACGCGAAGUUAGGAUUUUACAUUUUAAUACACCAACUUUCGUUGUUGUCCAAAUUUGACACGACUUAAUUCUUAAAAAUUCAAAAAACAACUCAUUUUUGUAAAUAAUUAUACAAAGACCACUUAUGUUAUAAUUUGGGACAUUUAAACCAAAACAAGANNNNNNNNNNNNNNNNNNNNNNNNNNNNNNNNNNNNNNNNNNNNNNNNNNNNNNNNNNNNNNNNNNNNNNNNNNNNNNNNNNNNNNNNNNNNNNNNNNNNNNNNNNNNNNNNNNNNNNNNNNNNNNNNNNNNNNNNNNNNNNNNNNNNNNNNNNNNNNNNNNNNNNNNNNNNNNNNNNNNNNNNNNNNNNNNNNNNNNNNNNNNNNNNNNNNNNNNNNNNNNNNNNNNNNNNNNNNNNNNNNNNNNNNNNNNNNNNNNNNNNNNNNNNNNNNNNNNNNNNNNNNNNNNNNNNNNNNNNNNNNNNNNNNNNNNNNNNNNNNNNNNNNNNNNNNNNNNNNNNNNNNNNNNNNNNNNNNNNNNNNNNNNNNNNNNNNNNNNNNNNNNNNNNNNNNNNNNNNNNNNNNNNNNNNNNNNNNNNNNNNNNNNNNNNNNNNNNNNNNNNNNNNNNNNNNNNNNNNNNNNNNNNNNNNNNNNNNNNNNNNNNNNNNNNNNNNNNNNNNNNNNNNNNNNNNNNNNNNNNNNNNNNNNNNNNNNNNNNNNNNNNNNNNNNNNNNNNNNNNNNNNNNNNNNNNNNNNNNNNNNNNNNNNNNNNNNNNNNNNNNNNNNNNNNNNNNNNNNNNNNNNNNNNNNNNNNNNNNNNNNNNNNNNNNNNNNNNNNNNNNNNNNNNNNNNNNNNNNNNNNNNNNNNNNNNNNNNNNNNNNNNNNNNNNNNNNNNNNNNNNNNNNNNNNNNNNNNNNNNNNNNNNNNNNNNNNNNNNNNNNNNNNNNNNNNNNNNNNNNNNNNNNNNNNNNNNNNNNNNNNNNNNNNNNNNNNNNNNNNNNNNNNNNNNNNNNNNNNNNNNNNNNNNUUUAUCAACUAAAUUGCAUUUUGUUAUUAAAAUUUCCGACGAUCUUGACUAUUCUAAUUCGAGUUCAUACAAAUUUUUCGAUCUAGGGACUUUUUGCGUCACUUGAGAUUCAGUGUCCCACGUCUGUCUAACUUUCAAUUUUUAUUUUUUGGCAUAUUUAUUUCUUCAAUUUCAAUUUUAUAUGUUUUAUUUAAUUUUAUAGUAAUUAUUAAGUAUGGUUCAUUCCAUUCAAUUUAAUUUUAAUUUAUUAUAUGGGUUGAUAAAUUCAAAGUUAGAACAUAUAUAUAAUUAAACCUAACCAUUAUAUUAUUUCUAUCAAUUGUCAUUUUUCAGAUUCACUAGGCAUAGACUCAAUCAAGAAUGCAACUUCAACACCAAUGGCUCAAUUCCAACCUACUCUACCAUACCAAACUCCUCAAAACUACCCACCAUUGUGCACAUAUCCGCCGCCGUCGGCGUCGACGCCGUCCACAACCGCCGGCCUCCCGCCGCCCACACAAGGCCCCCCAACCCCGCCGGCGCCAGCCUCCGCCAAACCCGGCCACGCGUCGUGGUGCGUGGCGAAGCCCACGGUGCCGGCCCCGACGAUCCAGCAGGCGUUGGACUACGCCUGCGCGUCGGGUGCCGACUGCCGGCCGACUCAGGUCGGCGGCGCGUGCUCCCAACCGGACACCGUGGUUGCCCACGCUUCCUAUGCUUUCAAUAGUUAUUGGCAAAAGACUAAAUCGAUUGGUGGAACUUGUGACUUUGGAGGAUCGGCUAUGAUUGUCACGGUUGAUCCAAGUAAGUUUUUCAUAGGUUAAAUUGUCUUAAUUAAAUAAUACUAUAUCAUCUAACAUUUGUAUCCUGUGCAAUGCACGAAAAAUAAUUUAUAUUUAAAUAAAAUUGAUAUAAACUCAUAUAAAAUUUAUAAAUAUAAUAAAAUAUAAUUUUAACUGAAUAUAUAUAAGCUAAAUAUUGAAAAAAUAAAAAUUAAAUAAGAAUUUACAAUAUAAAAAAUUGAUAUUAUGAAAAUGCAAAAAAUAAGUUAAAAAAAUAAAAAUAAAAUGGAUUUGAAAAAAAGAUUUAUUCAAAGUAUCAAUUGGGCUGGUAGGCUGUGACCCAAUAGGAUGGGCCUCAGCCCGGCCCGAUCUAAACAUUUAGGAAGGCCCAAUUUAAAUUCAGAAAGAAAAUUAUCAUGAAACUUUUUUUUUAGGCAAAUUAUCAUAAAACUGUUUUAAGUGUUUUUUCAAAAAAAAAAAAAGGGCCCAAUGUGAUUUUUCUCGACCCACCUGCAUGGCCAAACCUUUUCUUUUCUACAAGCAUCUUUUAUUGGAGAAAAGCAAAUAUAUUGUAUUAAAAAAAAAGUAAUAAACUGAAAACUACAAGGUCGAAAGUGACAAUACCAUUUGUAUAUAUAUAAAAAAGUGACAAUACGAUUUCUAUAAAUGAAGAAACGGACAAGUCUUAUUGGGAUGCCUUUAAGUAGGAUGAUAACGAGUCGGAUCUAAACCGGAUUUUGCUAAAUUCUAUUAUAUUUGUUUUAAUGUCAGAUUCGAUCCAAACCUAUCGUGUCCAAGAAAAUAUUUUUUGUUAUUCUAUCUCUAUUAUUUGUAGUUUUGAAUGAGAGAUUUGUAGUUUGAAAAUAUUAGAAUUAGAAAACUAGAUAAACACUGAAAAAUAAAUAAAUAAUUUAGCACUUGAUGAUGAGAAUUCUCACUAUAUUAACUUUUUUGUGCAGGUUAUGAUCAAUGCCAUUUCCUCUCCACUUGAAGAAUAUCACAAGACAGAAUAAAAACCUCAAAUCAAUACAUAUAAACAAAAUCAAGGAUCUAUGUUAUUUCUAGCUUCAUUAAUAUUUGAAUUUAAUAAUAUCUUGAUAUGUGUUUUAUGUCAUUACAUAGAAAUAUGUCAUUACAAUCUCUAAUCAUGGAACUUUAUUAAGUUUAUUAAAGAGUGUUUUCUCGAUUUUGACUAUUAUAUAUAUUUAUAUAUAAAGUUAUAUGUGUACGUAGUUUUUUAAUAUAUUAGAAUUAAUUGAAUUGUUUUUUGUAUGUCUAAUUGAAUAUAUUCAUAUAUCUAUCAAUUUUUGUACGUAGUUAAAUACUCCCUCCGUCCCGCGAGUCUUGACACGUUUGGGUUCGGCACAAAAAUUAAGGAGUUGUAGAUUAGUGUUUUAAGUGUGUAAUUAAUAAAGUACAUAAAAUUGAUAAAGUAAGAGAGAGAAUGUAAUAAAAGUGAUAAAGUAUGAGAGAGAAUAUAAUAAAGGUGAUAAAGUAGGAGAGAGAAGGUAAUAAUUAUUGCCAAAAAAGGAAACGUGUCAAGAUUCGUGGGACGGCCCAAAAAGGAAAACGUGUCAAGAUUCGUGGGACGGAGGGAGUACUUACGCAUUAAUAGAUUUAAUUUUUAAUAAGUUACCGUAGUAGUAAUAUUUGUAAUAUUUAAGAAUUCUUAAUUAUUUAUAAAAUUGAUUGGACCAAUAUAUUUGUGUAUACAAGUAUAUAUAUAACUAUGCAUCUUUCGAUAAUUCGGUAUAUAUAUACGUAUAUGCAGCAAUGCAUUUGCAUGUUUUCGAAUAAUUCAUAUUUAUGUAUUUUUGAAUUUAUACGUGCACUCUUGUACGUCAAGCGUUAUGCUUUACUAAUACCGUAAUACGCCCCACUCGUGCGAUGCACGACUAAUAUUGAAAUAGAACAAUAUUUUAAAUAAAUAAAUAUACAUAUUAAAUAUAAUUUAACAUAAGUAAAUGCAAACAUGAAUCUCAAUAAUAAUAGUAAUAAUAAAUUGAAGUUAUGAACUACAUAAUCUCAAUAAACACAUGGAUCUGAAAACAUUUGAAUUUUCAAUUUUUAAAAUACCAAUUAAUUUAAAAGGCUGAUGAUUUUCUUGUCUUUCCCUUGAUAAAAGUUUACAAACUUAUAUUAAUUUAUUAUUAAGGUAGUCGGAUUUUAUUGUCUUUACCUCGAUACUAAAAGAGUAUAUCCUUUGCUGCCGACAUCAAAACAUAUUUAGAUUUUAUGUGAGUUGAAAAGUACUUGUAGUUGUGGUACACUAUCAUUGAGAGAGAUAAUACACUGAAAUUAUUGUACUAUUUUGUCAUAUCGAGCAAAAUAAUAGGAAAAGAAUAUUAAAGUUUGUAAACUAGUAUUUUGUUAUAUAUAUCGAGCAAAAAGCAUAGGAAAAGAAAAUUAGAGUUAAAAAAAAAACAAUUUCAAUGCAUGUGAUUGGUUUUAAUUUACAAGUAUUAUCUAGGGUUCACCCAUUUAAUUAGGGUUUAUAUUUAUAUUUUUUAUAUUUAAUUUGCAUUUAUAUAGCUUUAAAAAUGAUUAUUUAGGUCAUUAUUCCAAAAUUAGGUUAUAUCAAUUUUUUAAAUUCCAAUAUUUUGUAACAAAUGUUAAUUAGAAUUAAUAAUAUAAUACUCUCUCCGUUCCAUUCUUCUUGUCCCAUUUUCAUAAAAGGUGCUCCUCCGUCCCAUAUCAUGUGUCUUCAUUUUCUUUUGGAGUUGUACCAUAACAAAUGUCUAAUUUCUUAAGAAAAUAAACUAUUCAUCUCAUUAAAAAAAGGUGGACCCCGUCACUUUUUUUUUUUUUUUUUAAACGUUUAACCAUUUGACCAUCCACAUCUAAAUUCACGUGCUGAAAAGAAUCAAGACACUUGUUAUAGGAAGAAUGAAGUACUCCCUCCGUCCCAAUAAAAGUGGCCACAUUUCCUUUUUGGGUGUCCCAUUAAAAAUGGCUACUUUCUAAAAAUGGCAAAAAUUUACUUUAAUUAAGUCAACAAUUACUCACUAAUUUGGUCAACAAUUGUAGGCCACUUUCUAAAAAUGUUAAAAUUACUCACUAAUUUGGUCAACAAUUGUAGGCCACUUUCUAAAAAUUACUCACUAAUUUUGGUGGGUCACACUCAAUUAAAACAUAACAAUCUCCUUCUUAAUCUUCGUGCCCAAAAAAAAGUUGCCACUUUUAUUGGGACGGAGGGAGUAAUAAUUAAUCCUCCAAAAUGUGUGGAUCACACCAAUUUUAAUCAAUUUAUACGUACCUUCUUAACUCCAAUGUCGAAAAGAAAUGAGACGAGCUAGAAGAACUCGAACUCAAGAUAUCAUUGAUCUCAGACCAACACGCGUACGCAAAUAAAACCUCUUAGCUAGAGUGAAAAUUGUGUGACGGCUAAGUUAUAAAUAUCCAAAUCGGUGUCGGGCGAAUAUGAACACAAAUGUAAGAUCGUCGAAAAUACUAAAUUUCUUGGCCAUCAUUCACUACAUUUAAUGUCUUGGUACACGUUUCUUAUAAGAUCCAAAUAAGGUAGGGCAUCUUAUGGCUGCAUGGCUCCAAUUUUCCAAAGUUUGUAUCAUAAAGGAAUAGAAAAUACACUAUGAAGAUAGAUGUAUUCUUUUAACGUUUUAUUAUGAUUGUUUAAUUUACCCGUGAUUUAUCCAUCCAAGCUCCUCUAUCUCAACUUCUACGUCCCAUCGUCCGCGUCCCACUGUUAAUUUAACUAUUUUAAAAAUUAUUAUAAAAUAAAAAUUUACUAUUCCCUCCAUCUAAUUCUGCUAGAUGCGAUCUUUAAAAUUUCAGUUUAUUCGAUAACAUAAUGAGAGGGUUUUAUUUUCAAAGUUCGUAUAAGCUUUUGAAUCCAUUAUUAAUGCAUUGUGCUAUGUGAGAUCAUGAGCUAGUCUUGUUGAUUUUGAUUGCACUAUUGUGGACUUUUCACUCUAGCUAAGGGGUUUUAUUCGUGUGCUUGUGUUGGUCUGAGAUCAAAGAUCUUGAGUUCGAGUCUAUUGUGAUUCGAUCUUUAAAAUUUCUGUUUAUUCAAUAAAUGAAUAAGAGGGUUUUAUUUUGAAAGUUCAUACAAGCUUUUGACUCCAUUGUUAGUGCAUUGUGCUAUGUGAGAUGAGCACUAUUGUGGACUUUACACUCAAGCUAAGAGGCUUUAUUUGUGUGCGUAUGUUGGCCUGAAAUCGAAUGUCUCGAGUUCGAGUCUACUGUAAUGCAUCAUUUAAAAUAUAUGUUUAUUCAAUAAAAAAAUAAGAGGGUUUUAUUUUCAAAGUUCAUGUAAGGCUUUGAAUCCAUUGUUAAUGCAUUGUGCUAUGUGAGAUGAGCUAGUCUUGUUGAUUUUGAUUGCACUAUUGUUGGUAUAUAAGGAUGAAAUCAAUUAAAUUUAAACUUUGUGGGGUGGAUAAUUUCAUUCUAGCAAUUCCAAUUGUGUGACCGAAAGGUUAAGAAUUUGUUCACAAAUAUUUUCUAGAACAAAAAAAAAAAUUAACAAGCAGAAGUAUAUAUAAAUUUGGUUUCACCUUAUAUUUUUUUUAUGUUUUUGAGAAAAAAUAUUUUAACAUUGUUUGUUAUUGGAAAAAAAUCAAUUUUAUCUCCUCCAAAACUAAUUUUCUACGUCUCCCCUUGUCUACAUGUCAACUUCUCAGUGAUUAGCAAAAAUGGGGGCUUUUUUAAAAUAAAAAAUAAAAAAUGGGGGUAUUAAUUUUACAAUAUUUUCAAAAGUGGUGACAAUAUUGAAAUGAUCAUGGUCGACACAUUAUAUUUAUCUAGAACGAUUACAUCAAAUUUUAAAGGGAUGCAAUUCUACAUGAAAGAAUUAAUAUACUUCCAAAAUCAGUAUUUUGUUCCAUUACUCCAAUAAUUAUUAUACACAAUAAAUUUCGUUCCAAUUAAAAUUGGGAUUAUAAAUUGAGAAGGAAUGUUUGUUGCGUACCAAACAAAUAAAAUAGAAAUACUAUGUCGGGCUGCUCGACCAAUAACUAGUGAAUGGCUCACAAUAAUUUUACCAUAAAAAAAUAUAUACACUAGACAUAUUAAUUUUUGAAAAACAAAUAUGGAAUAAAAUUCUUGAGUCCUAAAUAAGGAAGCUGGGCCCUCUCUCUCUCUAUCAAUGCCUAUAAAUAGCAUGGUGCACAACUAUCAAUAGUAGGCAACAACAUCUUCAACAUGGGCAACUAUAAUAUUGCUCAACUCAUAAUAUUUCUCUAUUUAGGAAUCUUCUUAUUUCUCAAGCAUCAUGUCCAUCUUGUGGCCCCACUCCUCCAACUAAGCCACCACCAAAGGUGAAUCCACCGAAACCGUGUCCACCAACGGCGCCAUCACCCCCGAAAUCGUCACCACCGACGAAAUCACCUCCACCGACGAAAUCACCUCCAUCACCCCCAAAAUCGUCACCACCGACGAAAUCACCUCCAUCACCCCCGAAAUCGUCACCACCGACGAAAUCACCUCCGAUGGCAUCACCACCGAAAGCACCAGACGCGUGCCCCAUCGACGUCUUAAAACUAGGUGCGUGCGUCGACGUAUUGAAUGGCCUCGUGCAUAUAGGAAUCGGGCCAAGCGCCAAGGACGAGUGCUGCGCGGUGCUCGAGGGGGUGGCAGGGUUGGAUGCAGCCCUCUGCCUCUGCACCACCAUCAAAGCCAAGCUUCUCAAUAUCAACAUUCUCCUUCCCAUUGCUCUACAAGUUCUUGUUGAUUGUGGCAAAAAUCCACCUUCUGGAUUCCAGUGCCCUACUUAAUUAAGGUUGUUACAAGUUCUUUUUAUAGCAGAUGUCUAAUAUUUUGUGUUAUAUGUUGUUGCAUUGGCCAAGUAAAAUAAUAUGUAUCUUCUUCUAUUGAGAAAUUAAUGUUUAUUUAUCUAUUUUACAAUUUCAAAAUGUCUGCUACAAAUGGCUCGUGUAAUCUUCAUCUACUUAAGAGGGAUGCUCAGUGUACAUUUAUUGUGUUAUUUGUGCAUGAAAAUUCCAUUAUUAUGAAUAAUACUUUAAUUUCAUUUCGACAAUAUCGAAUACUUGCAAUUAGCUCAAAUAAAAUAAGUUUAUCAAUGACACAUGCACAAGCAGUGGUUUUAGUAUAAUUUUUAUAUUAAAAAUAAAUAUUGUGCAGUAGUGAACAUACUGAAUUAUACCUGAAUUAUUAUUGAAGAAACCUUUACUUAUGUUUAUAAAACUCCAGUGCAAGGUCAAAUGAUUUUUACUGUUAGAUGUUUAAUUGAUAGAACUAGNNNNNNNNNNNNNNNNNNNNNNNNNNNNNNNNNNNNNNNNNNNNNNNNNNNNNNNNNNNNNNNNNNNNNNNNNNNNNNNNNNNNNNNNNNNNNNNNNNNNNAAAGGUCGAUCACAAUUUGAAUAUCAAAUUGCCAGAAUAAUUAUAUUGUUAUAUUAAAUUAUAUAUAAUAGUACUAUAAGAAUGUUGUUUUGAUUUGAAUUAACAUAAGAAAGGGUUAAAAUAAAUCAAGAAAUUCGUAAAAAGAACAAAAAAAAAAACAAAAAUAAAUAAAUAAAUCAAGAAAUGAAUAUAAUACUCCCUCCGUCCACGAAAGAACUUUCUAAGAGGGAGUGACACGUAUUUUAAUAAAAUUAUUAUUGGGUGUAUUAAAAGUGGAGAAAAAGUUGUUGAGUGUUUUGAAAGUGGUGAAAAAGUAUUAUAAUUAAUAUUGAGAGUUGUGAAAGAGUGAAAAGUAAGAGUAAUUAUUAGUAGUGGGGUAUAGUUCAAAAAUAGGUAUGAAAGUUUUUUUGUGGACAUUCCGAAAAGUUUUUGAAAUAAUAAGAAGUUCUUUUGUGGACGGAGGGAAUAUAUGAAAUGAAUAUAAAAAACAAAUCAAGAAAUGAAUAUAAUAUAUGAAACGAUUCUAUAUUAGCGCAAAAAAUGGUAAUGACAAGAGAGAAAAAGAAAAUAAAAAAAUAGAAGGAAAAAACCCUAAAUCCCCAAAUCGUCCACGGCGGCUGUUGCGUCUUCAUCCACCGCCACCGGCCACCGGGUCUGCGUCACGUGGUACUAAUUUUGCAUUUCCAUCUUUCGCUUUUGAUACUGAUGUUUGUUCUCUGAUUUCGACUAUGCUUGAAUUUCGAGAUGAAUUAAAUUCAUGUAUGGCGAUCUGAUUUGAUUCUGUCAUUUUCUAGCCGAUGAUAAUCUGAUUUGAUUCUGUCAUUUUCGGUUGAUUUCGAAUUUUGAGCUGAUUUGAAUCAAUCACUGAUGUCUGGAUUUCGUGAAGUUCUUUUGAUUUAGCUGGUUAAUAGCUGUUUUCCGGUUGAUUUGUUGAUUAAUAGUCACUCUUUAUGAUUCCGAUUUCCGAUUCCUUAUUGCUGUCAAUGAAAAAGAGGGAGAUUUAUACAUUUCUGCAGUCUGAUUUUGAUUUCGAAUUCUUUAUCUCUGUUAAUCAAAAUAGGAAAUGAAAUAUAUCUUCUGCAGUUGGACUCUUUCAAUUAAAACUCUACAAAAUGUGCAUUUCUUUGUAGAAGAUAUAGAGAUAUGGAUUUGAGUGAAUGCAGUUACUGAGUUACCAAGAGAUAGGCUAUGUCGGGAGCUCUCUCAUCGUCGUGCAUUUUCUGCCAAAUCGCCCGUGCCUCGACCCCAGCAACCAUCCUUCACCAGGACGACAAGGUGGUCGCUUUCCAAGACAUCAAUCCAUCCGCAUUGAGGCAUUAUCUGGUCAUCCCAGUCGAGCACAUACCAACUGUCAAGAAACUCCGGAGAAGGUCCGAGGACUUUGCUCUGGUCAGCAACAUGCUGGAUGUCGGCCGAGCUCUGCUGCAGAGGGACGCGCCUCAUGCUGAGCAGUACAGGUUCGGGUUCCACCAACCCCCUUUUAAUAGUGUCGAUCACCUCCAUCUGCAUUGCUUUGCACUUCCAUAUACUCCUAGGUGGAGAGCUAUGAAGUACUUGUCUUUGGGGCCAUUUGUUGGAUUCAUCGAAGCUGAGAAGCUUUGGAGAGGAUAAGCCACCGGCUUUUCUCUGAGGCUCUCGAUUAUGGUUUUGUCGAUGCUACACUUGGUGAACUACAUCAGGUGCUGAGCUUUUCUUUUCAUUUAUGUGCUGCUAUUGCUAUGUGAUUUGCUGGUUUCUGAGUAUUGGUUUUAGCUUAUAUAUUGUUAGUCUUGGUACAUAGAUAGCCUAUAAAUCAAUUAACUUUGAUCAAAUUUUGGUUUUUGCACACCAACUUAAAAAUAAAAUAUGCCUGUCAAUUAAUUAACUUUUAAAUUCAUCUGAUCUUGCUAGUGAGUUGGAUUUUCGGCCCAAUUUAAUGUUUGACACGGUCGUUUGAAUAUCCGAGGGGGAUAGAUAGGCCCACGAAUAAAACAACGUUGUUUUUACUUCUGGCACAAUUUAAUGUUGACAUGUAAGUUGUGUUUUGCCAAAUAAAUCAUGAUGAAUUCCGGCCUCAUUUGCAAAAGCAGAUUAAAUUAAAAGUUCAGUAAUUGCCGGGCAUUUCUAAAUUGGUGAGUGCAAAUUUCUAAGUUGGUGUGCAAAAUUAGAAUUUGGUCCAAGUUUAGUAAUUGGGGUUAUUGCCGAAAAAUACUCAUAGUUUGUCAAUUUUCUGAUUAAUAACAUGAUCUUAAAAUUUGGCCAGAAAAUACACAAAUUUUAAAUUUAAUCUCAAUUUUAACAUAAUUUGAAUUUGUAAGAAAUAAAACCUAUGUGGCAUAAUUUGAAAACCUGUGUAAGUUUUUCAAUAUCUCUGAUCUUUAUAAUCGUUUUGUAAUUUUGGAAAGUCUAAUUUUUUGUGUAAUUGGAUUAUUUACAUUUGUUUGCAUGCAAUUUCGAACAUGAGAUAUCUCGCAUCAAAUACAAUCCUGAUUAUGUCAAGAUUUCAAAUUAAAAUGAUGAUUUUAUGUCAAAAAUAAAGUCUGAAUAAAUGCAUUCACAUUCAACUGUUUUUAAUCAAAAUGGAAUGGAAUCAAGUCAUCAAUAUAUAAUCUUGAGAAACAUAAAUUUAAUUGAUAUUUGAUGUAUAGAAUCCUGCUUGAUAUUACUGAAAUGAAUUGAUAUAGUUACCAUCUUCAAACCAUCAAUUUAUGCUAUAUAACUCACUCUGUUUUUGCAGAAGGCAUCAAGAUCUAUCAAAACUCAAGCAAGCCAUGGCCAAUAUUGUUAGAGCUCUCCAAUUCAUUCUUGUUGCAAUUUUCAUGGUUUCAACAGGUUUGGUUUUCCUUUCUCCUUCUUUCACUAUUAAAGAUUUGAACGAGGCUCGACUCAUUGUAUAUACGAUUGAUGAGUUUCUUUGGAUUUAGAUUAUUAUUAUUAUUAUUAUUAUUAUUAUUAACGAGGCUCGACUCAUUUUGCAGUUAUGCAAUCAUCGAAUGUGGUUGAAGCUAGAGAAUUGCAGCAAGGAGUGAAAUUAGAGCUUUGCCCAUCUCGCUGCACUAAUGAUCAGCAGUGCCUUGCUAUUCCCGGUUGUGGAGUGAGAUGUUUGAGUUCACCUUCUAAGAGAAUUUGUUCCCAAAUUUAGUUUGCUGUUAACUUUGGAUGAUUAUUGAAUUAAAAUAAAGUUGUCCAUUUUAUGCUACAAUUAUUAAUAUUUAUCGAAUCUCUUAUAUUGAUUAAGAGCUCGUUUGGUACGUAAUAUGAGAUGAGGUGUGAUAUAUUUUAUUGGAAUGUUUUUUACAAUUUAUCAUAUUGAUUUCGUGUUGUUAUAGAAUAUAUUAAAAUAUCUAUAAUACGCAGUUCAUUGUUUUGAUAUGAUGUAUUAAACUUAUAUAUAUCUAUAAUUAAUAAUUAUAAUUGAUAUUAUGUAUAACCAUCUCACGAGUGAUAUAUAUAAUUCUUUAAAUCAGUCUAAUAUUAAUCGUAAAGUUCUCCACAUCAUGUAUGUCAAGAAAAUUGAUAAUUUAUUAUUUUUACCCUUAAUUAUUCAAUGGAAAACUGAACAACUAAUUAUAAUUUGCAAUUGACACUAAGAUAGAACUAGUGUGCAAUUCAUCGAAAUUCUGACACAGAAUUAUUUUAAUUGUAUUUUUUUGACUUGGGGGGUGGGGGGAGUUUGAACCCUAGACCUCACUAUUUAUAGACAGGAAUUCGCACCGCUUGGUGUUCCAUUGGUAGCUCCAUUCCAGAGAUUUCACGGGCCCUAGGUAAAAUGAGAAAAAAAUGGCCCUUUUAAUUGAACACGAUUGUGUGCUUGUGGAUUGUUUUUUUUUAAUGGAAUAGGAUUGGAGCCUUUGAACUUGUAUGUAUUUUUUUUAAUGAUUGGGGCCUAAUGUGUGACUAAAAAAAUCUUCCUUAUAAUAAUAAUAAUAAAUAUAAAAAUAAAAAAUUGGGGUCUCAUUUUGCCAUGGGCCCUAGGCAGUCGUACCCCUUGCCUAUGCCCACGGCCGACCCUGCCCCUUGGGGACUAUUUUAAUUGUAUUUAUAGUUAUAAUAAGUUAAACAAUAUUUAUAUCAAAGUAAUAUAUUUGAGUUGCUAUGUAAGUAACGGUUUUACUAUCCAUUCUCAUCACAAAAAUGUAUAGUAACUCGUGUUAAUAUUCAUACAUAUUUACAUUUAUAAAUAUAAUUUAUCACAAUAAUCGCCUACAUCUCAAUAGAGACUCGAAUAUUAAAGAAUAAAAUAAACACUAAUAUACAAAACUAAGAGAUCAUAAAUUAGAAAAAAAAAAAACUAAGCACAUAAGCAUGUUAAUCAAUGUUCGUACUCGUCAAGAAUGUAUGUUAAUCAUACCCAAAUAAUUUGAAUAACAAAACACUUAAAAUUUGAGAAAGUUCCAUGAAGACAAGUUGAUAAAUGUUCUUACCCAUCUAAAAUGCAUAUACUCAUACCCAUCACAAUUUUGAUUAGUUACAUGAACCCGUUUAAUUUUAUAAAUAUGAGUUGUUACAAAUUUACAUAUUUGUUCCCGUUUAUAAUUUAUAUACUCAUAUUAAUCCCAAAUCCAAUCAAAAUAGAUUUUUUUUACCUAUUCAACUUUCAAUCUCUUAUAGUAAUAUCUGCUAUUUAAAUAAUAUCUUAAUAAUCUUAACAUUAAUUUACUACAACAAGAUUGAAAAUAUACUAUAAUGUUAUACGAAGUAUUAAGAUAACAUCGACUAAACAAUAUUAUUAUAUAUUAAUAAUAUUUAUUAAUUACAUGCAAUCAUGCAUGUAAAAUUAACUUCCAUAUUAAAUUUCUUUAAAAGUGACACUUAUUCAUGGACAUGUUUUGUUUAUUGAUAAAAAGCCGCACUGGCCNUUGUAUUUAUAGUUAUAAUAACUAAAACAAUAUUUGUAUCAAAGUAAUAUAUUAGAGUUGCUAAUUUGCUAUGUAAGUAACGGUUUUACUAUCCGUUCUCAUCACAAAAAAUGUAUAGUAACAAGUAUUAAUAUCCAUACAUAUUUACCUUUAUAAAUAUAAUUUAUCACAAUAAUUUGAACAACAAAACACUUAAAAUUAAAGAAAGUUCCACGAAGACAUGUCGAUCGAUAAAUGUUCUUACCCGUCUAAAAUGAAUAAAGUCGUACUCAUUCCAAUUUUGAUUAGUUACACGAACCCAUUUAAUUUUAAAAAUAUAACCUGUUACAAAUUUACAUAUUUGUUCCCGUUUAUAAUUUAUAAACUUAUAUUAAUUCCAAAUCCAAUCAAAAUAGAUUUUUUUUACCCAUUCAUGUUUCAAUAAUAUCAGCUAUUUAAAUAACAUAUUAAUAAUCUCAACAUUAAUUUACUACCACGAGAUUGAAAAUAUACUACAAUAUUAUACGAAGUAUUAAGAUAAUAUCAACUAAACAAUAUUACUAUUAUAUAUUAUUACAUUGCAUAUAAUAUGUACUAUAUUAAUAACAUGCAAUUAUUAUUUCCUCCAAAAAAAUGCAAUUAUGUAAAAUUAACUUCCAUAUUAAAUUUCUUUAAAAUUAUGAAAUAGACCCUUAUUCAUGGACAUGUUUUAUUUAUAGUUAAAAAGCUUAUUCUAUGAGUACUGGCCAACCCAAUAAUGACAAAAGCUAGGAUACGUGUUGAUAUUUUUCUCUUUGUUUGUCAUCUUAUGUACUGGCCAACUUUCUUCAUAAAUAUUUUUUCUUUAUAUUUUGAUAUUAAUGGGAGAUGCAUGUUUAGAAAAUAUUCCAUUCUUGAAUCGUUUUAAUUUGUGCACUUGGAACAUGUGUUAUUUAAUGAUUAAAUCAACAAACCCAAGAUGUCACAUGAUCAAUUGGAGAUUUUUCAAUUUUAUUUGAUGAUUUUAUGUCAAACUAUAUUAGGUAUAAUUGAAACAAAUGAUGAUUUUUUUAGAGCCCAAACAAAUUAUGAUUAUUGGAUAUACUGUAUCAUUCGAUCGAUAUUCUCAUUAAUAUAACUUUUCUAUAAUAUUAUUCGGUAUUGGUANNNNNNNNNNNNNNNNNNNNNNNNNNNNNNNNNNNNNNNNNNNNNNNNNNNNNNNNNNNNNNNNNNNNNNNNNNNNNNNNNNNNNNNNNNNNNNNNNNNNNNNNNNNNNNNNNNNNNNNNNNNNNNNNNNNNNNNNNNNNNNNNNNNNNNNNNNNNNNNNNNNNNNNNNNNNNNNNNNNNNNNNNNNNNNNNNNNNNNNNNNNNNNNNNNNNNNNNNNNNNNNNNNNNNNNNNNNNNNNNNNNNNNNNNNNNNNNNNNNNNNNNNNNNNNNNNNNNNNNNNNNNNNNNNNNNNNNNNNNNNNNNNNNNNNNNNNNNNNNNNNNNNNNNNNNNNNNNNNNNNNNNNNNNNNNNNNNNNNNNNNNNNNNNNNNNNNNNNNNNNNNNNNNNNNNNNNNNNNNNNNNNNNNNNNNNNNNNNNNNNNNNNNNNNNAUAUAUAUAUAUAUUGCAUCCAGUUUCAUUGAUUUCUCUUUGAAGAUUUCCAUUGAAAAGUUUUAGAUUUCUCAACUUGUAAACUAUUAGAGAUAUAUUCAUUUUCUGCAUAUAUAUCAUAUAUGAGUUUCUCUAACCCACUUUUGGUGUCUCAUUUUGUGUUUUACGUUCAAUUUUUUUAAUGCAGUUUUUAAUCAUUCAAAUUAAUUUGUUAGUAUAAUUUAAUAUAUUCAAUUAGUGUUUAUAUUUUUUUUAAACUAUUUUCUAAAAUUUUAAAAUAUAGGAUUAAUUGUAAUUAACUAAUCUAAAAUUAGCGUAUAUAUACAACUUUUUUAAAUUCCAAUUUUUAGUGAUAAAUAUUGAUUAGGAUUUUAAUUCGUUGUAAUUUUUUUUUUGCAGUUAUACCAUCCCAAAAUGUAGUUGAAGCUAGAGGCGUGAAUUUACAAGAAUGCCCUUCCAACUGCCGCGACGCUCAAGAAUGCAUCGACGCAAACUGUGGCUCUAUUUGUAGGAAAAUAUCUCCUUCUAGGAAUAUUUGUACUGAUAUAAAUUAAUAAAAUAUAAAAUUAAGUAUUUGAGUUAUUAAAUAAUCAAAUACAUUAAAAAUUAAUUAUAAUUUAUUCAAAAAAAUCGAUUUGCCAAAAAGUAACGAACAAAUUGAACGAUUUAUUUCAAGCUUAGUAAGGUUAGCAAUCCAUAUUCAAUACUAAUAUACCAACUUUCAAAUUUCUCAUAGAAAAUUAUUAUUAUGAAAAAUUCAUAAUAAUUAUUAAAAUGAUAUUAAUCUCAACCACUCGAGUUUCGCAUAAUGUCGCGAACCAAACCGGCCAACGACUCGCGCGAGCCGCCACCGUCCGCGACGGCGGCCGAGCUCUUCUCUCUCAUCUCCGCCGCCCUCUCUCUCACCGCACUCCCCUCCUCCAUCAGCCGCUCUAUCGCCGCCGCUAUCUCCUCCGCGCGCACGACAAUCUCACUAUCCUCCCUAUAAUCCACCCUCACCUCCACCGCCACCCCCAUCUCCGCCACCAACUGAAACGCAUUGAUCUGCUGCUCCGCGUAGAUCGGCCACGCCGCCAUCGGAACGCCGUGCCACAUGCUCUCGAGCACCGAGUUCCAGCCGCAGUGGGAGACGAACCCCCCCACGGCGGCGUGCGACAGCACCGCCGCCUGCGGCGCCCAUCCGAUCACUCUUCCGGCUCCUUUAGUCCUCUGCAAGAAUCCCUCCGGCAGUAUCUCGAUCGGGAUCGAGGAAUCUGUCUUCCUCUGCCUCCGCCGCCGCAGCGACCAGAGGAAUCUCCGGCCGCUCGACUCCAGCGCCGCCGCGAGGUGCCUGAUCUGAGCGUCGGAGAAACCACCCUCGCUGCCGAAGCAGAGGAAUACUACAGAGUUGCGCGGUUGUCGAUCCAGCCAGCGAAUUACAUCGGAAAAUUCCGAUUCCGGCGUGGUUUCGAGGUUGAGGAGAGGUCCGACGGGGUAGAUCGGCGGCAUUUGAUCAUCAUUUGAGAGGGAUUGGAUUAUGUUCGCCUCGAGUUCUUGGAAAGUGUUGAUCAAGAUUCCCCUGCUUUUCCGCAUUCUCCGGGCCGACGACACGACGCCGUAGGCGCCGCCGUUUUUGUCGGUGAUCACCGACGGCAAAACCGUCGCUGGGACAGGGUUGAGGAAUCCGACGACGGAGAUCAACUCGUCGGAAUCUUUGAACUCCGUUAUGUCGACGCCGUGCUCGUCGGUCAACCUUCGCAUCGACAUCAUGAGCGAGAGGAAGCCGACGCCGCACGUGAAGAAUACGUAAGUCGGGAUGGAGAAUUCGUUGCCGACGUCUGUCAUGCUCCAGCAAAACAUAUCGACCACGAGCCCGAUAACUCGGGUUCUCGUCGCCAUCAUGUUGAGAACGGCCUCUCUGACGAGCGGCUUGUGCCGAUCAACGUGCACUCGGCUCCUGACGGGAGCUAGCCCCGACUUUGUUUUGGAGUCGGAGCUGGGGCUCCUCUCCUCCUCGAGUUCGGGGAGGUUGAGGAGCCGGAGGCGAGGAUCAGAGUGGCAACGGCUCGAGUUCGUGUAUUCACGAACUGCAGGGUCGUUGAUAAGGAGGAACGUGAUGGAAAGUCGCGUUUCCUCGUUGAGAAUGAGUUUCGCGACCUCGAUUGCCGGGACAAUGUGGCCGAUCCCCGGGCCCGGGACGAAGAUUAGUUGGAGUUCUUCCGCUGACAUUAUAAAAUUUGAACUUUCGAACUCGACUUAAAUUAUUUUAAAACUUUUAUUUAAGAAAUUUUGAGGGUUUGUGGUUGAUGAUAUGCUAGGCCAUUAAAUAAUAUUGUGACAUUAAUGGCAUUAGGGAACAAAGUAAAGAUGAGAUAAUUAGAUUAUGACAAAAAAAGAAUAGAUAAUAAGAUCACGGUGGAAAAAGAAAAGGAAGGUAAAAGAGAGAUAAUAAGAUCAUGACGAAAUAAGUAAAAGAAAGAUAAAAAGAUCAUGACGAAUAAAAAAGAUACUAAUAUAAUGAAGAAAAAAGUAAAAGUAGAAUUAAUAAUUAAAAGAUGAGGUAUAUCGUAAUUAAAAAGAAUUAUACACAUAUAGGUUAAGGAACCUAUUCCAUAUUUUUUAGAGAAAAGAUAAACGCUGAUUGCUUGCUUUAAGCAUAAAAUAAAAUAAAAUAACUGAAUAUUAAUUAAUGACUUAAAAUCUAACCUUAUAAAUUGUAAUCGAUUUUUUUUGAAUUAGUAAAUUGUAAUAAUUUUAAGUCUUCAUACGACUUUCCUUGACGGUGAGGGUCGUCGUGCUCGUUUCUCUGUAAAUAUUGGCUAUUCUGUUGUGUCAGAAUAUGAUUAUAUAAAGAGCAAUAAACGAACAGAAAACAUAAAGAAGACACAAAUUUACGUGGUUCAUCUAAUUGGCUACGUCCACGGACAGAGAGAAGAACAAAUUUUAUAGAUUUCCGAUCUCAAACAUAUUCUAAUACCUAUAACGAUGCCUACUGAUGUUAUAAGGGAGAAGAAAAUAGUCAUUAUUACUACACGUACUUGCCCACAAACAACAUAAAAAGUUGAAUAAAUAUAUUUGUUUAUGUGGAACAUGUGACACACAAGCAUUUACGAAACCAUAUCCCAUUCAGUCAUUUCAUCAAACACUUUGCGUGCCAUCUCCAUAUCAGAGCAUGUUUAUCAGCCGCUUCCUCAACUACGUGUAGUCCUUCACCGCCGCUAGUUGUGUGUGGUGCUGGCAGCGGCGAGGUGGGUAAGGAGCUGAGAUUUGGUGACGAGAGAGAGAGAUUGGGAAUAAAUUUAUUUAUUUUAAUAUUUUUAAUGACAUGGAUUUCAAUGUCGAAAAAUAAAAAUAAAAAAUAGUUUAGUGAUUUGGCAAUUCAACGAGUCAAGUGCGAGUUACAAUUAAUAUAAAUUAGAUAAUUCAAAAUUUAAAAAAAUUGAUAAUUUAAAAUAUAAUUAAUAAUGUAAAAAUAAUUUGAAAUUUAAAGUGAUAUUUUUAUAGGAAUAAGGUUCAAAUACCUUUGUGCGCUUUAAAAUUUAAAAUGAUAUUUACAUAGAGAGAGAUUGUCGUCAUGGAAAUGAAGAAGCAGGUGGCGCCGCUACAGAGGCUGCUCAAGUCGAGGAGGGAGCCGUGAGCACUGGGGCCUAGGGAUGUAAACGAAUGAAAUCAAAGCAAAUAUUAUUAGAUUCAAUUCAUAUUCGUAAAAAUAAUUACAUAUUCAAAUCGAUAUUCGAAUAUCUUCUUAAUCUUAUUUGCUAUUUGUAUUCCAUUCAUACACUGAUCGGAGUUUAUGUCUAUUUAUAUAUUAUAAUGCUUCUAUUAUUUUAUACACUUUUUUUUUAGGGCUAUUAUUUUAUACUCCACUUUAUUACUCCACUCAUUCUUCAUCCUACCUUAUCUCUUAACAAACCACCAUAAGCUAAAAACAAAAACCAGAGCUUAAAAAAAAAAAAACCUGAGCUAAGAAAAGCAUCGCCGGAAAAUGGAGAAAUUCGAGCUAGUAUUCAUCCCAUCUCCGGGGCUGAGCCACCUCACCGCCACCGUUGAGGCGGCCAAGCUCCUCCUCGCCCGCGACGGCCGCCUCUCCAUCACCGUCCUCACCAUGCAGCUCCCCGGCGAUACCGCCGUCGACAGCUACACCGCCAAGAUCUCCGCCUCCUUGCCGCCCCGCCUCGCCCUCACCGCCCUCCCCGGCCUCCCCGACUGGUCCCGGCAGUCCAAAACCUCCCUCUUCGAGUUCAUCGACAACCAGAUCACAAACGUCAGACAAAUCCUCUCAAACUUAAUCGAGCACGAUUCCGGCGAUCACCAUCGGAUCGCCGGAAUCGUGCUCGACAUGUUCUGCCUCAAAUUCAUCGAGGUCGCUCGCGAACUCAACCUACGGUGUUACUGUUUCUUCACCUCAGGUGCGUGCUCAUUAGGUUUAUUUCAAUAUGUAGUCAAUUUGAAAUUCGAGGAGAAUAAGGACCUCUCGGAAUAUAAAAAUUCCGACGCCGAGCUGCCGGUGCCGUGCUUCUCCCUCCCUGUUCCGGCGAAGGUGCUGCCGGCCGUUUUCGUCGACGGCGGCCCGAUGGCCGACGUGUUUUUGAACUAUUUCAAGAGAAUAUCGGAGACGGACGGCGUCGUGUUGAACACAUUCUACGAAUUCGAGCCCUACGCCGUCGAGUCAAUGGCGGCCCGAGGCCCGAAAGUUUAUCCGGUCGGCCCGAUUUUGGACUUGAGCAGCCAAUUUGAUGAAGAUGAUGAUGUGAAGAGAUUUCUCGACGAUCAGCCGGAAAAAUCCGUGGUUUUUUUGUGUUUUGGAACGAUGGGGAGUUUCGCCGGAGCUCAGGCGAGAGAAAUCGCUCUCGCUCUCGAAGGUAGCGGCUGCCGGUUCCUAUGGUCGUUGAGGAAGCCGGCGGCGAAGGGGUCGGGGAAGCUCGUGGAGGAGUACGGCGAUUUCGGGGAGGUUUUGCCGGAGGGGUUCUUGGAGAGGACUAAAGGGGUGGGGAGGGUGAUCGGGUGGGCGGCGCAGGCGGCGACGCUGGCCCACCCGGCGGUCGGGGGAUUUGUUUCGCACUGUGGGUGGAACUCGACUCUGGAGAGCGUGUGGUUCGGGGUGCCCGUGGCGGCUUUCCCGCUCUACGCGGAGCAACAACUGAAUGCGUUUUAUCUGGCGAGGGAGGCGGGGGUGGCGGAGGCGAUUACGUUGGAUUAUAAGAUGGAUUUUAGGGGGGACGGGGAGCCGGAGACCGUGGGGGCCGGGGAGAUCGAGGGGGCGAUACGGCGGGUGAUGGGGGCGGAGGGGGGCGGGGUGAGGGGGAAGGUGGAGGAGAUGGGGAGGAAGGCAAGGGCGGCUUUGGAGGAAGGUGGAUCUUCUUAUAUUGCUCAAAAUCUUUUUAUUCAAGAUGUUGUUGGGAAUAUUGGUUUGUAAUUUAAUUUUAAUGAAGAUUACUAGAAUUGGAAUAUGUACUUGAAAACAAAUGAAACAAUCUUCAAAAUAGAUCUUUGAACAUGUUACAAAUAUAGCAAAUGUUACAUGUUUAAUAGACUUGGAUUAUUAUUAUUUUUUAUUUUUUUUAUAAUAAUGUUAUUUGGACAAAAUAUGAUUAAAUAUUAAAAAAAUAAAUUUAUUUAUAAUUUUUGGUUCGAAGUAAAAAAAAAAUUAAUUAAUUUUAUUUUUUUUCUCCACAUUGUAAUUUUUUAAUAACCUUUUAAAUUUUUGUAAUUUUUAAAGUAUACAAACUACAAAAAAAAAAUUAAAAUUAAAACAAUUGUUAAAAAAAUACAAUAUGGAGAAAACAAUAAAAAUAACUAAUUAAAUUUGAACUAAAUUUUUUAAAGUAUUUAAACAAUUUUUGUCUGGAUAAAUUUUGUCCAAAUAGCACUACUCUUUUUUUUAAAACAUAUUUUAUAUUGAUAAUUAUUUUGUGUCCUCAAUAAAAAACCAUAUCUAGUUCAGUCAUUUCAUCAAACACUUUGCGUUCCAUCUCGAUAUCACAGCAUGGGAAUUGCGAGAGGAAAAAGAUACGAGUGACUUGCCGGAGGUGUCGAUCAGCCGCUUCCUCAACUGCGUGUUGUCCUUCACCGCCGCUAGUCGUGUGUGGCGCCGGCAGCGGCGAGGUGGGUGAGGAGCACAGCCGGAGAGAGAGUUUGGGGAAUUUAAUUUGAAUAUUUUAAUAUAUGACAUGGUUUUCAUGUGAAAAUAAAAAUAAAAAUAAUACAUUUGGCAAUUUAGGGAGUCAAGUGCGAGUUACCAUUAAUACAAAUUCGAUAAUUCAAAAUUUAAAAAAAUAUUUUCGGUGAUUAAAAAUAUACUUCAUCCGUCCACGAAAAAACUUUAUAUUUUUCAUUUUUGGGACGUCCACAAAAAACUUAAGAAUAAAUACUUACGAACUAAUUAUUGCUGUUUGAGAAACCAACGACGUUUGAUUUCGAUGUAUAUUUAUCCAUUGAAAACAGUGCAAAAUCUUUUCGUUAUCAAUUAUUGAGCAAAUAUCUUGAAGAAUUUAGUCACUAUUGGGACCCAUAGAAAAGAAAAAAAAAAAAACAAUAUUUUUAAAGGGCACUAGUGUGUCAUUAAAUGUAAGGAUUUAGUCGACCUAUUUCGAAAAGUCUAGAGUGAAUGUCGAUCACAAACAUAGUUUAGGUCAUAUACGACUUUUAGAGUAAACUUUAGAGGGCUAUUUGGAGUUUAUGCCUAUUUAUAUACUAUAAUGCUUCUAUUAUCAUAUACUUAUAAUUUAUAAUUUUGGUUUCCACUCAUUCUUCAUAUACCUUAUCUCUUAACAAACCACCAUAAUUAAGCUAAAAAAAAAAUACCGAGCUAAGAAAAGCAUAGCCGGAAAAUGGAGAAAUUCGAGCUAGUAUUCAUCCCAUCACCGGGGCUGAGCCACCUCACCGCCACCGUGGAGGCGGCCAAGCUCCUCCUCGCCCGCGACGGCCGCCUCUCCAUCACCGUCCUCACCAUGCAGCUCCCCGGCGACACCUCCGUCGAUACCUACACCGCCAAGAUCUCGGCUGCCGCGCCUCCCCGCCUCGCCUUCGCCGCCCUCCCCGGCCUCCCCGACUGGUCCCGGCAGUCCAAAACCUCCCUCCUCGAGUUCAUCGACAACCAGACCACAAACGUCAGACAAAUCCUCUCAAACCUAAUCGAGCACGAUUCCGGCGAUCGCCAUCGGAUCGCCGGAAUCGUGCUCGACAUGUUCUGCCUCAAAUUCAUCGACGUCGCCCGCGAAUUCAACCUGCCGGCUUACUGUUUCUUCACCUCAGGUGCGUGUACAUUAGGUUUAUUUCAA